AUGUAGAUAACGAAAUAAUGCUUCUGGGGAAAAGAGAAUCACCAACAAGAAAUGGGUUUUUCCCGGGUUUAAAAUGGGUUUUGGGUGUGGUUGAAACGGGUGAACAACUGCAGCAACUCAUAAUGCUAUUCAGAUUUCAGUGCGUGUGGGUGUGCUUUUGGAGGGACCUCAGGGAAGUGUUGAGGGAUAAGAGCACCAGCACGAAGGGGACGACUGUUUGUUCAGUCUCCCAAUAGAUAAGAUGCUUCGUUUUUUCUAGUUUUCUGCCAAAAAAAAAAAAAAAUUCAAAAGUGACAUGGCAUAUGUGAAAUAAAAAAAAAUAUGACAUAAAAUAUUUUAAAAAAUUUACUAUGAAAACUCACAAUUCAAACGGGUUCUAAUAUUCUUCCUCCCUAAAAGGAGGAAGAUUGACUAUAGAAUUUAUUCAUGCAACAAUCUAUAUAUGUGCCGAUUUAAAAGUUAAUUUGAAGAAAAUAAAUUGUAGAAGAAAAAAAAGGUGUGAAUUUUAUUUUAGUUUAUUUCUUGGUUGUUAACUACGAUUUCAUAAAACUGGCGUCACAAUUGUUUAUGUAGUUUUUCAUUUCACAUUGAUAAUAUUUUUUGUCUGUUAUACAUACUUGUUAUUUGGCUUUAUAAAAAUAUUGAAAAUGUGUGCAAGAAAUCAUUUAGGCAGAGCAAAUAAUACUCCCCUAAUUUUUGUAUAAUUUUAUUGAGUAAAAGCCUUUAGGUUGUGCUUGGAUGAUAGAAAUUUUUUGGGUAGUGCAAUAUCAUUCCCCUAAAUUCUAUAUAUAAAUAAAUAAAAUAUUUCUUGGAUUAUUCAUGAAUAAUAAAUUAUGUAUUUGGCAUCAAAUUUUUAGGAACUUUUACUUCAUAAAGUGAUAUCAAAUCUUUGAUUGGAAUGUAAUUAUUAUAAACUUUUAAAUUUUACGAAAAGGGAGUAGAAAAAUUUAUGAGGCAAAGUAAAUAGAGGGAGUUUUACAAGCAUUAAAUGGUGAAUACGGUCUACAAAUAAAAAUUUCACACACUUAAAUAACUAAAAGUUAAUGUGGCCCGCCAGUUGCCAUUGCUUGAUAUAUUAACCUCACCAAUUGAAAGAAAGAUGUACAUACAUAAAAAAUCAAAGAGAAAAGUUCUAUGCGAUUUUAGAUUUUUCUAGUUAUCCGAUUGGGGUAAUGAACAAACUCAAUAUAUUGUUAACAAAUUUGAUGGCUCAUCAGUUUAAGAUCGACAACAUUUUGGAAUCUAAAGCAAACUUGAAUCAAAAAAAAUCUUACAGAAAGCACAUCUUGCAUGUGAAUAAUUUCAAACAAUAGAUUAAAACUGAAAUCUGGGUUUAAUGAGAAUUAUUCAAGUUAUUUCCUUGUAGCUCAUCCAUUUUUGCACUUAGUUUAAGCGUGAAUAUUUAAAUUUGAAACCUCUCAUGUACACUUUCUCCCCUAAACCAUCCAAUUCAUCUCCCUCCCAAAUAUAUUUUUUUGUUUGAUAAAUCACAAUGAUACGUAUGCUAAAUGUGAAAUUUUUAUUUGCCUUAGUUUAGAAAAAUAUUUGAUUUUUAUGGAUAAAAUAGAUAGUGCUCUAUUAAAGGUUUUUUCCCCUAAAAUUAUGACUAAGCAUAAACGAAAAAUGAACCAAACCAAGGUUCUAGUAUUCCAUUAGAUGCUAGAACUAAACAGGUCUAUCACGCGAAGGAACUAUAUAUUCCAAAGUUGCUUGAAAAAUUCGAUUUCAGAAUUUUUAAUCUGUUCAUAUUUCGGUGCAUAAACCAGAUUACUUGGUAACAGUUUUAUAAGCUUUUAUGAUUCAAUGAUGAAGAAUAAACCUUCAAUUCCGUAUAUGUGUGUGUAAUUAUCGACUUAUAUAAAUGAUCAUUGUUCUCAUGGAACAAUUUUUUUUGAUGGAAAAAAAUCGUCCAUCACAAUUUCCUUGACAAAAUUGGGAGAGAAAUUCAAUAGAGAUUUAGAAAGGUUAGCGGAUUUUGCAAAAUUAAUAAAGAAAGAAGCAAAAUGAUAAAUUGUUAAUUAAUGAAUCACAAAGACAUAAAUGAUACUCUGCUUGGACUAUGUAAGACUUUUGUGAUCAAAACUGUGCCUAUAUAUGCAUGUCACGAUAAUGAUCACAGAGUCAUCAACAAAAUAGUGCUAAGACUGUCAUAUCCCCAAAUGAAGCGGAAAACCAUACAUUUGAAUGUUGUCCUAAAUCCUCGCUUGAAUUUUCAACAAAAGAAACAAUGACGAAUAUAUGGUUUAGAAGGUCGCAGGAGUCAUCAAGAGAUGAAAUUUUCUUUCUUUCCCAUAAUUCUUGCUAUGCCAUUGUCUUGUUCUCCUUAGAAGCAGCUUCAGUUGUCUUCACCGUGGCAGAGGCGGAGCCGGCAAGGCCGAGGAAGAAGUGGUGGUACUGUUGGUGGUGGUGGUGGCGGCAUUGAACAUCAUCUACUCAGCUUCAGAACAAAAAUCAAAAUGCCUAACAAGAAUUUCUUGAACAAUCCACAAACUUAUUCUCUGGAUGGUAUUAUUAGUUCAAAAGAAGGGCAGAGUCAAAGCUGUUACCUGACCAAAGCAACCAUAGACCGUGGUGUAUGGACAGAUAUCAAUCCCUUGAACCAAAAGCUACCUAUGUUUGUUAUGCAACUCGUUAUUGUCACAUCCGUCACCCGCCUCCUCCUCGUGAUUGCAAAACCUCUCCGUCAGCCUCCUUUCGUGGCUGAGUUUUUGGUAAGUUUUAUGCCCUGGCUUUCAUCAGCUUUUCUCUUUCAGGUGGUUUAGGGGUUUUAAAGGGGUCGAUGUCUAAACGCUUCAUCACCUAAAAAAAAUUUGGAAAAAGGUUGUUGAGUCCUUUCCUCAACUAGGCAAAAGAAUUCUAUUUGAUUUGGGAGUUGAUUUACUCCAUUAAUUUGAACUGCAUAUAAGAUAUAGUCUGUCUUUGUCAAGUCAUCUCAUUUAUCUGUUUUGGCAUUAAGUUAAAAUUCAAAUAUGGAAUGCCAGACAAGUUUUUACAAAGUAAUUUCAUUUGCAGGCUGGUUUAUUGAUCGGGCCAUCUCUAACUUCUCAUAUUAGUGGUUUGCAAAAUUUCAUUUCGGAUACUAUAUUUGCUACCCCUCGGCUGAUGAUGAUGGAGACAGUUGCAGGUUUAGGCCUCAAUUACCACGUCUUCUUUCUUGGAUUAGAGAUGGACAUAACUGCAGUAACCAGAGUUGGACGCAAAGCUCUCAGCAUUGGCAUAUCAGGAUCUCUCUUCUCCUUCAUUGUUGGUGCUGCAUUCUACAUUUUUGGCGUCCCACAAUACCUUCAGAACUAUAAAAUGGGAUUCCUUUAUUGGGGUGUUGUUCUCUCGGUCACAGGCAUACAACCUGUUGGUGAUUUACUUGUAAAGCACAAACUCCUCCAGUCUGAAUUUGGAAGGGUAGCCAUGUCCUCAGCACUUGUGAAUGGUGUAAUUUCCUGGCUACUUCUCCUCAUCAGCUCUGCAAUAACUUGUAGUAAACAAUUGUUCUUCGUGUCACUGUUGAUGGCAGUUUUGUUAGCAGUCUUCUUUUGUUUCGUGGUCCGUCCAGCCAUUUUAUGGGUGAUUAAAGAAACUCAAGAAGGAGAAGAGUUCAGUGAGUCUACUGUCUGUGUUAUUCUCACAACGGUUUUGUUCUGUGGCUUAUUAACCGAUGUGUGUGGCCUUAGCUCCUUUUAUGGUGCAUUUAUGUUUGGACUAAUCAUUCCAAAAGAUGUUCUUGGGGAUAGAUUCUUAACUGUGCUUCAGGGUUUUGUCUCAGACCUAUUACUACCGCUUUUCUAUUGUAGUGUUGGAAUGAGAACUCAUCUUGAUAGCUCGACCAUCCAUGAUAAAAACGAUUGGACGUUGAUGUUGCAAGUGACUUUUCUGUCUUUUCUACCCAAGCUUAUUACCACUUUGGCUGUUUCCUACUUCUACAAGAUCCCCUUCAGAGAAGGAAUAGCGCUUGGUGUCCUUAUGAACGCCAAAGGCAUUCUUGCACCAAUGGCAUUGAAUUGGGGAUACGACCAUUUAGUAAUACCUCUCUUUUCCAAUUAGAUUAUGUUUGUUUUUGUGUUUGGGGGUACGCAGGUUGUGGGUGAAACUAGAACAGCAGAUACAAAUUUGCAUGUUUAAUAAAACCGUGCAUUUGCUGCUCAAGUUGAACCUGCAGUUUUUGUGGCCCCAAAUGCCUAUGAUGUUGUGUGUUCAAGUCUAAUUUCGUACCUAGUAUAAAUUUAUACUAUUAGAGUUUCAUGGCUUCAGAAUCUCUAUCUGAUCACUUCCAGUGCCAAUCUAUAUCCGACUCUAUUUUCUUGCCACUUAUUACUACACAUGCAAUAGAAUUGUGAAUAUACCGUGUAACAUAUUCACACUUGGCAAGAAAAUAGAGAACAGGAUAAGGAUUGGCAAAAGAAGUGUCAUAGAGGAUCUUGAGGCAUUUUAUAUGGUAAUUUUGCAUCCUAACUUUGUAUUCUGAAUCUGAAAAUCUGUCCAGGCUCUGAACCGACAGGGAUAUACCAUGAUGAUUUUGCCCAUUGCUCUGAUGACUGUUGUAGCAUCACCAAUACUGGGAUAUCUCUACAAACCAACAAAGCAUUUCUUACCAAGCAAGCACAGGACUCUUCAGAAAUUGAGGCCAGAUGCAGAGCUACGACUCCUAGCAUGCAUUCAUGAAUUACAGACUGUUCCAGGGAUCAUAACACUCCUUGAAGUUUCUAAUGCAACAAAAAGAUCUCCGAUUUUCUUGUUUGCCCUCCAACUGAUUCGAUUAGCCAAACACACCACAGCUUUGCUAAUUGAGCAUGGUCCUGGAGGUUUUGGCUCUCAAAGUAGCCGCAGCUUCGAUGGACAAACGGACCAAGUGAUUGCGGCCUUCGAGAAGUUAGAGGAAGCAAAUAACAUGUUCUCAGUUCAACCACUAACUGCCAUGUCUGAUUAUGGGUCGAUGCAUGAAGAUGUCUGCAGCAUUGCAGAAGACAAACGAGUCACCCUCAUACUUUUACCCUUUCACAAGCGUCAAACGAUCCACAACCAAAUGGAGGAUAUGAACCCUGCCUACAAAGACAUGAACGAUAAUAUACUAGCAAAUGCACCAUGUUCAGUUGGCAUUCUUGUCGAUCGUGGCAUUGGGAUCUCGUUCAGAAAAGAGGACGACAAUGAUGAUGGGACAAUUCGUAUUUGUAUGAUAUACAUUGGAGGAGAUGAUGACAGAGAGGCUCUGACCUACGCCUGGCGAAUGGCAGGGCAUCCGAGGGCAACACUAACAGUAAUUCAAUUUUCAGCCAGUGAAAGUGCAGCCAGCAAUAUAGAACCUCAUGAUUUUGCACAAGAUGGUGGUAAGGUUGCCUCAGCAACAGUGGAUAUUGCAACAGAAAAGCAGCUAGAUGCUGAUUUCAUUUCUGAUUUUAGGCAAAAAUCAGUAGAGAAAGAGAAGGUUACAUAUUUAGAAAAGGAAUCAAACAAUGGGGCAGAAACUGUUUCAAUCAUAAAAUCUUUGGCUGAAAGCUAUGAUUUAUUUGUGGUAGGAAGAGGACUUGGAAUGUCAUCCCCUCUAAAGUCAGGAUUAGAUGACUGGAGUGACUUCCCAGAAUUGGGAUCAAUUGGGGAUCUUCUCAUAUCAUCAGAUUUCCCGUCAACAACUUCUGUGUUGGUAGUGCAACAACAUGUUGAAAAGAAUCCCAAGAAAGGUCGCCAGUCCUCAUCAAUCACAAGUCGUGGGCAUAAAAGAUAGAAAAAGAUAUGGAUGAAGCUACUUGACUGAAAUUGAUUGAUUUCAGGUCAGCAUUAGGAUGGUAUAAGAUGGACUGGCUAGAAACACAUUAAAGAUAGUGUCUUUCCAAGAUGGACUGACUAGAAAUACAUUAAAGAUAGUGUCUCACCAAGUUCAAAUCCUUCUUUGUAUGAAAAUGGCUCUGUCCUAAGUGCUUGCAUAGGUCAAUGUAGGAUUCUAAACCAAGUCUAUUUCCUAUUCUUGUUAGGUUUAUUGUUUAGGAAACUUUUGGUGUUAGAUUACCAGUGUGAUUCGGUAAUCUAGUUCUUAUAGGAUUUGUUAGUUGAUGGUCUAUAUAGAAACCAUAUCCCUGGUUCGUUUGUGUAAGAAGUCCAACAAGUUCCGUUGCUUUGUUUCUUAUUUUCUGGCCUGAGGAAUUCUUUUGUCUUUCCUUGCAUUAUUGAAUUUGCAUUUUAACAAAGCCCUGCAGCUCGUUCCGAUUGCCGUCUUUGCCUGUUAGCUUUGUUCACUUAAUAAAAUAUUUUGGGGGCUUACGUCUUGGUAUUCAAAGCUAGGUUUAUUAAAAAGACAUGUAUGCAUCAACUGCAUCAACUACAUCAACUAAUAUUACUUGUGCAUUAUCAUAACUCACUAAGAAAAGAUCACAGGUUUUCGUAGAACUCAGAUGGAAAUCCAUUUGCUGUUCAGUAAGACAUUGCUGCAGAUGUUGAUGCAAGCACCAAGAGGCAAGGAAGUAUGGCGUUAUUUUAAAUCCGUUAGGCAAUUGAUGCUUCAAUAGUUGGAAAAAUUGCAAAUGCCAAGAUUGUAAAAUAAGCAUGGGAUAUUUUGCAGAAAACAUACAAAGAAGUUGAUAAAAUCUUGAAAAAUAAUCUACUGAUGUUGAAAAAGAAAUUUGAGUUGAUCACCAUGAAAAAAUAAAAACAACCAAGUUGAUCAACAUAAAAAAUGAGAUGGAGCUCAAUGGUCAUGAUUUUGGUGAUGGGGUGCUAAUAGAAAAAGCCAUUAAUACUUUAUCCACUAAAUUUGAUCAUGUGGUAACUAUGAUUUAGGAAACAAAAGAUCAUUCAAUUAUGACCAUUGAAGAAUUGCAGGGCUCAUUAAUUCUUCAUGAACAGAUAAUUAAUGGGAAGCUAGAAGCCGAUGUAGAGAAAGAAACGGUAGAAAAAGUGUUGUAGGUGCAGAUGGAUAAAUCCAAGGAGAAGGGUGAUGUUUCAAAUCAAUGGAACCAAAAUUUUAGAGGAAGAGGAAGAGGAAGAGGCUGUAGUAGAGGCAAUUUUAGAGGUCAAGGCGGAAAUAAUUUUUAACAACAAGGAGGUAACAAUAAUCCUAAUAGUGAAUAAGAAAAUAAUAAUAAUUCUCGCAAAUGUAAUAUUUAGUGCCAUAAUUGCAAAAAAUUAGAUCAUUGUAAAGUGUUGGUACAAUUUUGACAAUAAAGUUGGGCAUACCAAUAUAGCAGAGAAUAAUGGUGAAAAGAAUGUAACCAUUUUUUGUCUACCUCGAGGAUGGAAGAAAAUAAGAAGAAUAAUUGGUUUUCAAAUUCUGAUUAUAGUAGCCAUAUAUGUCGCGAUAAAAAAUAUAUUUAUUGAUUUGGAUGAAUCUUUCAUAUCCUUCAUUAAAUUUGGUAAUAAUGAAAGGAUGCCUAUGUUUGGGAAAGGAAAAAUUGGUAUUAUUUUGAAAAAACGGUAAAUCUAAUUUUAUUUCUCACAUUUUUAUGUGCCAAGCCUUUAUCAUAAUUUGUUGAGUGUUGGACAACUUUCUAAGAAGGGAUAUGAUUUGUGAUUUAAAUGUGGCAUUGAUACUAUCAAUGAUGAUUGUCUUGGAUAAAUAGCAAAGGUAUAUGUGAAUAUUAAUCGUCUAUAGCCUAUUUCUCUUAAUUGUCAUGAUUUACUUUGCUUUAGUUUUGUUGUAUUUGAUGAUAUUUGAUUGAUUGUGACACAUGCACUUUUAUCAAUUGAAUUUUGGGGUUUCGAGUUUUUUGGCCAAAAAGAAUGUGGCAUAUAGGCUGUUUUCUAUUAAUUUUUCUGCUAAGCACCACGGGUCUUGUAUUUUGGGGAAAAAAACAUUUUGGAAUAGCUGUUUUUGGGGGUGUUUUUGAAAAACUUUGCUAUAGCAGAGUUUUUAGAGUAUAUUUUGGAAUAUUUUUAGAAAAUAUUUUGGGAUAUUUAAGAGUUGAAGAGUUUCUAAAAUAUAUUUUGAGUUAUUUUUUAAAAUUUUAAAAAAAUUUAAACUAAUUUUUAGAUUACCUUUUAGAGUACUUUUUAAAAAAUUUUAUUGUAUUUGAAAAACACUCCAAAAACAGGGGAUCCAAACAGAGUUUACUUGGAGGACUGAUCAACCAAUGGAGUUGAUAUAUUCUAACAUGUGCUUAGUUGAGAUCCCUUCCAAUGAUGGUAGUAAAUAUUUUAUUUCAUUCAUUGAUAAUUUUAGUAGAAAAACUUGGAUAUAUUUUUUGAAGAAUAAAUAUGAUGCCUAUGAUAUUUUUAAGAGUUUUAAAGUGUCUAUUGAGAAGUAAAGUGGUCAUUUUAUUAAAAUUUUGAGAACUGACAGAGACACUGAGUUUACUAUUUGUUAUGAUAUUUUGGGUAAAGAAUUGGAUUAAGUACCAAUUGAUAGCCAAAUACACUUCUCAGCAAAAUGGAAUGGUGGAGAGCAAGAAUCAUUUAUCGUCAUUGACGAGGUUUUUACUUCACACCAAAUUUUAGAAACCUAAAUGCCUCAUUUUCUGCAAGUAUAUAGACCGCUUAUCGUUUAUAGGGGAUAUUAGGUAUCGAUUUUAUAGGAAAAAUUUUCAAUUACCAGUGGUUUAGUGGUUUUCAAACUUCUCUAUUAUUAAGACUAUCAUAAAUAAAAUAAGUAAAUCUACACUAUCAACAUGCAACAAAAGUAUUAAAGUAACAAGAAAGAGGUUCCUAAAAUUACGGAAUUCCUAAUUACUCUUGCAAGUAAAAAUUACCGGUUAAUUAAGUUUAUUUACCUUAACUAAAUAUGGCAUAAUUUUCAAAUGUACCUGAUUUAUGCUUUCACAAAUAUACCAAUCACAUCUAUUAUAACUACUAUGUGCCUACUAACAUGAUAUGAGACUAACCACACUUAUAGGAUUUGAGUUGUUUAUACGGUGGGUAAUAUGUUAAGAAAAACAAGAAUACUAAAUAGCUUGGGAGAAGAGAAAAGUAAGAAAAGAGCUAUUCUUUCAUUCGCUCAAAUGAAACAUCAGUUUUCUAUGACUUAGAUAUAAAGAGGGUAAUCCCUAUUUAUAGGGGAAAGUACACCAACUAAUUUCUUUAAGAUGGUGAUAUAAUCUUUUCAUAAGUUAUGAUAACUUUAUCGAUGGUCGUGUCAAUUUUAUCAAAAGUCAUGCCAACUUAUCACCUCGAAAGUCAUGAUAACUUUAUCGUCUCGAAUAACAUGAAAGAAAGGUUUGUCACUAUAUCGGAGAUAAGAUAAAUGUGAUAGAUAUCCAUAAUAUUUAAUUAUUUCAUAACAAUUCCCUUUAGAUGUCUAUUACACAAAGAAUAUGCUGCAUUAAAACCUUAUUAGGAAAAAAAUUAGUGGAAAAAAACCCUAAUGAAAGAAAAAGAGUGCAUUAUUCUUGUGUUUAAAUUUCUCCCCCAGAUUCAAAUAUCAUUUGAGAUCUUUUAACCGAUGCAUUUCAAUAUUCUUCACUAAUUUUUCAAACGUUGCAGUAAGCAAUAUCUUGAUAAAUAAAUCUGCUAGAUUAUUGCUAAAUUGGAUAUGUUGCACAUAAAUUUCAACCAUUUUAAUGUCGUCUUAUAGGAGAGGAAGUAAAUCUUGCUAAUAGAUUUGUAGUAAAUGAUAUAUCUGAUCUUGUACAAUUAGCAAGAUACAUUAGUGCACCCAUUGCACUAAAAUAUGGUACUUCAAGACCAAGAAUCUCUUUAUCUUCCUCUUUUGGUCUAAAAGAAUUCUUAUCCAGAUAAAAAAACCUGACGACCAUUAGAGUACUUAAUAGAUGUACUUUAUCUAUAGAAAACCGCUUUAAUACCUUCGGGGUAUAAACAACUUGGUGGACAAAAAUUUCACCUUCUAAAUUCUCAAUUUGUAAACCAAGGCAAAUUUUAGUCUUUCCAAAAUCCUUGAUCUCAAAUUCUUUUUUCAAUUACUCGACAGUCUUUUGGAGCUCUUCAGGUGUUCUAAUUAAAUUAAGAUCAUCGACAUAUACUAUAAUAAUUACAAAAUUUGACACAUUUUUCUUUAUAAAAAACACAUGGAUAUAUUGGGUCAUUGAUAUAACUUGCUUUAAUUAACCAUUCACUGAGACGGUCAUACCACAUACGUCUAAAUUAUUUAAACCCAUAUAAAGAUCUUUGCAAUUUAAUAGAAUAAAUAUCUUUGGAAUUUGAUUUACAUGCUUCAGGUAUAUUAAAUCCUUCAGGGAUUUUCAUGUAUAUAUUGUUAUUAAGAUUUUCAUAUAAAUAAAUAGUGACUAUGUCCAUUAGAUACAAAUCUAGUUGUUCAUGCACUACUAAACUCACAAGAUAUUUGAAUGUAAUCGCAUCCAGUACUGACAGGUUGUCGAAACCUGUACAAUAAUAAAAUAAAUCUAAUUGCCAGUUAAGGUAACCAAAACCCGAUUCCAAGUACUAGAGCAGGGACUCUAGGUGUGCAAUAGGUUACUUGAUUCACCCUGUUCCCGAAGAGUUUGCUUGAUCCGAUAUACCCAAAUGGGAUGGCUUUUUUCACAAAUAAUUAUGAAUUUGUAGAUAGGGCAAGUAGGGUCGUAUCCUCAUAUACUGGGGAUAUUUGUCUCUUUAGAAAUCCAAAGUAACACAGGGGGUGUUUUUGUAUAAAAGAUGACAAUUAAAACAAUUCAACUAAGAAUAAAAGAGCCAACUAAAAAUUAAAUGACAAUUCACUAAAAUCAAGGUAAUAAUAAUUAAAGGUCUAGCCAAGAAAUAACUUCAGCAAUGUUUCACCUAAUUGAUCAUCGAUGCAAAGGCAAUUCCAAUUAUUUACUAAUAAAUAGGUUAUAACUGCCAAACAAGCGAUGACAGUCAACCCCUCCUUACUGUGUCGAUGAUUAAGGUACGCCCAUUAAUCACUGCUCUAAUUGAGAAUAAUCCUAGGUACGCCCGUAAGAUUUAAUUCCCCAAUUGCCUUACGUAUUAGAGGAGCCCUAUUCUAACCAAAUAACGCACUACCAGGGUUAUUUUAGAUUUGCCCGCGUAUUCCACUGACACAAAUCCAAUCAUGCCAGCUGUCACUAUUUCAGAGCAAUUAAACAAUUACGGAUUUAAUGCCCUAAUUGACAAUAGGUUACUAAAUUAACUAAUUAUCCGGAUCCAAAACAAUCAAUUAAUUGAACAAUCAUAAGCACUGUAAUAAGAGAAUAUGCGAAUAUUAAUAAAUAAAAGGAAAAGAUAAAAUUAAAUCGAUCUCACAAUUUUUAGGCGAACCAAAGCCUCCAUUGUUUCUUGACUAGAAAAGGGGAUUUUAGUUCAUCCCUGACAAGAAGAACCCACACAAAAUUGCAGCAAUAGUUGCGGCCAUUGUCUCCGUGAUUGGCUAAAUUCAAUUCGGAGAAAUCAAGAAAAAAGGCAAGCUACAGGAACUAAUUCAAUGUCUUCAUUUGGUCUUGACAUACGAAUAAUGGAACCACAAGAAGACGAAACGGAAAAGUCAAAAGCUAAACUACCAAGUCAUCUGCUAGUUGUCUCCUAUUUCUAAUUUCUAUCUAAUGCCUCCUGUGCGGCGUCCACUACAGAGGAAGAAAAGAGAGAGCGUCCCCCCCUAGCGGAAUAGAAGACUUCAGCCUUUUCAUCCUUUUUUCCAAGCUCUCUUCCGCCAAAUUACCAAAAAGGGGUGGGGUCACGUCUUGACGUUCCAAAAAUGCCCUGUUACUUGAACUCUUUCCUGAUAAUUGCUAAAUUGGCAUUUGUUAUGGUAUUUUCGUUCUACUCCUUGAAAUAAAUGCAAAUUGUCAAAAGUGAGUAGAAUCUAACAAUUAAUCCACAACAGGUCAGGUAAUAGGGGAAAUUAAUAAUAAAAUAAAUGAUAAAAUUGCAACCUAUCAAUUCCCCCCACACCUAAACCAUGUUUGCCCUCAAGCAUGAGAACAGCAAACAAGCACCAAUAUUUGACAAUGGUCAUUGCUCCAACUACCAUAUUACCAAGAUACCAAGAAAAACAUAUAUCAAGCAUCAGUGAUCAAUACCCAAGAAACAUCACCCCGGUUAGCUUCUAAACCACAAACUCCUUCAAUUCUAGGUUAACUAAUCUAAGAAAAAGGAAUGACACACAACAUUUAUCAGCAAAUGGUCCAAUUAUUAACCAAAAUCUCAACAUUAAAUCCACAAAUCGGCAAGCUGACUUUUAUCACACACUAACACAACUUUCACUUCUUCUUUUUUUGUUAUUUAUUUAUUUAUUUAUCUUUUUUUUUUCAAUAGCACAAAAGACUUAGUCUCUAGCCAUCAGAGCCUUUUGACGCGAAUUUCAAUAUUUGCCAGAUGAAGGAGCCUGGUUACUCAGCUCCUAUCGCUAUACGACCACGUACUCAUAUAAAUUACUAUUUUUUGACGCGAGAAUCGACACUUUAGGUGAAGAUCUCCGGUUACUCAAUAGUACCAAAUAGCGGAGUACAGUCAACUUUAUUUCAUAGCCAGAUAACACAAUAUCUCAAUAUAACACAAAAACUAAAAGAAAAUUUACAUCAGCUAGUCCCAUUUUCAAACAUGGAGAACUAAGGUUAAUAACCGGACCAAUUCACAUGAAAAUGCCAACAAUCAUUCCCUAUGCCUAGGAAAGUUAACCAAAAAUUAUAAGAGUAAAACAAUCAUCGAUAUUCACCAAAGAGAUAUUCUUGGACUCAACCACAUUAACUUGAUACACUUUUAUUAUUAAAACUUGGCAAUAGCUGAAUUAGAGUCAACAAUCUAACAUUAAACUGUGGUAUUCAUAAAAAAAAGAAAGUAAACUAAGACUAGACAAAUAGGAAACUAAAAAUAAAAGAAGAACAUCUGAAAACUAAAAACUAGAAAAACUAGCACAGCUAUCUCUCCCCCCACACCUAGAUCCUGCAUUGUCCUCAAUGGAGGAAAUAAAGCAAUUGAAGCGAAGAGGACAACGAAACUUUCCUCUCGAGUGGCUAAGGGGUAUUUGGCAGCUGCGGAGGGAAACCAACGUGGUGAAGGUACGAGGCCAGGUUCUGAGACAUCCUUGCCACUUGGCGGGCGAUGUUCGUCAUUCGCUCAUCUACGUCGGGAACCUGUGCUUGUAAGUGGCGCCACUCACCAUUUUCGCCAAUUAUCACCCCAAACAACAAAAGACAAAAUAUCCAACAAAGAUAGCAACCAACAAAUGCAAAUCCAUAGUCACUGGUGUUCCCUAACUCAAUAGUCAAAUGCAAAAGUUGUCCACUCAAUUACUCAAUACAUGUCCCCAAUGGUACAGUUAACUGCACAAUUCAAUCAACCAAAAUCGUAGCAAAUGCCCCAAGAAUUUGACACUUCCAGCAGCAGCAGUUCAGAGAUUUGACAAUAACAAUUCAGUCACAAGUUCUUAGCCGUCAAUUAGAUAGCCAAUCAGAUAGAAUUACCAAAUCUAGUCAAAAUACCCCAACCAGUACCACUGGUGCACCCCACAGAUAAUGAAGCAACUUAAAUGGCAAACCCAAUCAACAAAAUGUACACGUGAGGCACCCAAGGCCUAUACAAAUGUCCCAACAAAGCAGCAAUUUCAAUCAAUAAUCAGUGGUGGUCCCAAUUUAGUCAAAUGCAGAAUCAAUGCAGCCCAACAAUUCAACUGGAUGUACCCAACCUCAACAAGCAAAGCAAGUGGCACAGUAGCCUCUCAAUUCAACAAACGAAUGCAGAAAUUAUUCAACCAGAGAACCAAAAAAUAUCCAAAUAAUAUAACCGUACAAUUGAGGGGUCAAAAGCCUCCAAAAAGUGGUGUAACCCAGGAAAUUAAAUCCCAAUAGAGCAAACAAGCCUGCCAAAAAUGCUACUGACAAAAUGGGAGAAGAAAAACUGGAGUACCUCUACCCCUGGGACUGCAGUAGGUGGUGGCGGAAGGAACUGCGGCGACGGCGACUCCAUGCGUUGCUGAAGCGUGGCUGGUGUCGCGCAUGCGUGGCGUGAGAGCGAGGCGGCGGUGCUCGUGGACGGCCGGGUGCUUGCGGGGAAGAGAAGAAAGAGUGGUCGUUCGAGGUAGUGGUAGUCGUCGGCGCCGAGAGGAGCUGCGCAACAGCGCACGCUGAAGGGUCGCGCGGCUAGGGGAGGUUGGCGGCGGAGCAAGGUGCGAAGUGGAGAUGGCAGCGGAUGUUAGGCUUUAUGGGUUUCGGCCAGGAGAAGAGAAACAGGGGAGAAGAAAGAAAAGAAGAAGAAAGAAGAAGAAAGAAAGAAAGAAAAGAAGGGGCAAAAAAAGAAGAGAAAAGGAAAAAUAAAAUAAUUUUUGGUUUUUUUUUUGGGUUUUUUAUAUAUAUAUUUUUUAACUUUUCUUUGGAAUUUUUUUUUUUAAUCUUAUUUUCCUUUUCUCAAUAUUAUGAAUAAAAUUCACUUUUGAAAUUCAAAAUUAGAGAUUAACAGGAAAGCGAAAAUUUUUCUCGAGCUUUGAAUAUUUACCUUUCCCGCGAACAUGAUGCGGGCAUGUCAUGAAGGCACGAAGUGAAGAGCUUCCUAGGUGACUUGACGCGGGCGCGUCAUGAGGGUCAGAACCCUUCUGACGAUGAGUUCUCUGGAUGACUUGACGCGAGCACGUCAAGGGGAUCGAAACCCUUUUUACUAAGCACCAGGAAGUCGAAAUGUGCCACGCGCCCAGUUGACGCGGGCGCGUCAUGUCAGAUAGAUACUUACGGAUCAUCAAAAACGAAAAUUGAAACCAGAAAUCAGUCAAACUCAAGAAAAACAUAUUUAAACGAACAAACAAAAACGAACAAAUAACUAAAAGAAAUUGGGCUGCCUCCCAAUGAGCGCCUUUCUUUAACGUCUUUGGCUAGACAUUGUCAUGUUUGUUCAUGAGGAUAAAAUCUUGUGACUCGUUUUAAUGAUUCAUCCUCUAUAUAGUCCUGAUAACCCUCGUAAAUAGAGUAAUCCUUGAACACACGAGCUACGGUUUUCCAUGGACUAGUAAAUGGCACCAAACAGGUCAACGAUAAUUUGAAUUCUCCAUUCACUCCUCCCUCACAUGCAUUUAUUGGUCCAAGAUAUCUUGCCAUCGCCACUCUUAAUUUAUUCCUGUCAUGAAAUUUAAGAUUUUCUAGUAUAAUAAAGUCAAUUUCAUUAACAGGAAUUGAAGAACAAGAGUCAAGAGAACAUUGAUUAAGGAAUGAAGGAGAUGUCACCGUAUUUGGAGGUUGUUCACUAGAUUCAUUCACUUGGACGAGUUGAUAUUGGGGGCUCAUUUUUUGCACAUCAACUUCCUUUUCAACUGCAUCUUUAGAUUCGUUUCCUUGAAACUCUUGUAGUUCCAUGUCAUUUGGCCGGAUAAUUGUACUCUCAUCUUCCUUAAGGUUGAUGUUGGUCUGUGAGAGCAAUUUUUCAUAAAUGUGAGAAGCCAAUUGCGUUAUCUUGGAUGUCAAUAGAUGCACUUGAUCCGCCAUUCCGGAUGUCAAUAGUUGCACUUGAUCCGCCAUGUUACGAAUACUCGUUUGUGUCUCCUGAUGAAAUCGAUAUGUAUUAGCAGCUAGUAAUUCAAUCAUUCCUUCAAGAGACAUACCUGACAUGGAUGAUGGUUGUUGAGAUUCUUGCUGUUGAAAAUCCAUUGGCCUGGUCGCAUAAUUAAAAUUGGAAUUAUCCCACCAUCCUUGAUCAUACCUGUUUGGGUAAGGGUCAUACCACGUUUGAAAUCGAGGUGAAAAAUCUUCAAAGUAUCAAUUGGAGCACUUAGAUUAUCUUGAAAUGCUGGACAUGUAUCGGUUGAAUAACCUGAGGCAAAAUAAGUUCCACAAUUUGCAACAGCCCAUUGAUCAUUAGGAAAAACACGAGUCUCAUAACCCCAUUCAGAAAUAAAGUCCAGUCUAUCAUCAAAAUACGGAAUGUUAGCAGUCAUAAACUAUAUAAAAAAAUAAGGGAAAAAUAAAUAAAAAAAUGAAAACAAGAUGAACUCAAAAAGAAACAAAUUAAUCUAGCACCAGUCCCCGACAACGGCGCCAAAAAUUGACAGGUUGUCAGCGCCUGUACAAUAAUAAAAUAAACCUAAUUGCCAGUUAAGAUAACCAAAACUCGAUUCCAAGUAUUGGAGUAGGGACUGUAGGUGUGCAAUGGGUUACUUAAUUCACCAUGUUCCCGAAGAGUUUACUUGAUCCGAUAUACCCAAAUGGGAUGGCUUUUUUCACAAAUAAUUAUGAAUUUGUAGACAGGGCAAGUAGAGUCGUAUCCUCAGGGACUGGGGAUAUUUGUCUUUUUAGAAAUCCAAAGUAACACAGGGGGUAUUUUUGUAUAAAAGAUGACAAUUAAAACAAUUCAACUAAGAAUAAAAGAGCCAACUAAAAAUUAAAUGACAAUUCACUAAAAUCAAGGUAACUCUAGGUGUGCAAUGGGUUACUUCAUUCACCCUAUUCCCGAAGAGUUUGCUUGAUCUGAUAUACCCGAAUGGGAUGGAUUUUUUUCACAAAUAAUUAUGAAUUUGUAGACAGGGCAAGUAGGGUCGUAUCCUCAGGGACUGGGAAUAUUUGUCUCUUUAGAAAUCUAAAGUAACACAGGGGGUGUUUUUAUAAAUGGUGGCAAUUAAAACAAUUCAACUAAGAAUAAAAGAGCCAACUAAAAAUUAAAUGACAAUUCACUAAAAUCAAGGUAAUAAUAAUUAAGGGUCUAACCAAGAAAUAACUUCAGCAAUGGUUCACCUAAUGAUCAUCGAUGCAAAGGAAAUUCCAAUUAUUUACUAAUAAAUAGGUUAUAACUGCCAAACAAGCGAUGACAGUCAAUCUCUCCUUAUUGUGUCGAUGAUUAAGGUACGCCCGUUAAUCACUGUUCUAAUUGAGAAAUAAUUCUAGGUACGCCCGUAAGAUUUAUUUCCCCAAUUGCUUUACGUAUUAAAGGAGUAAUAAUAAUUAAAGGUCUAGCCAAGAAAUAACUUCAGCAAUGGUUCACCUAAUUGAUCAUCGAUGCACUAGCAAUUUCAAUUAUUUAUUAAUAAAUAGGUUAUAACGGACAAACAAGCGAUGACAGUCAACCCCUCCUUACUGUGUCGAUGAUUAAGGUACGCCCGUUAAUCACUGUUCUAAUUGAGAAAUAAUCUUAGGUACGCCCGUAAGAUUUAAUUUGCCAAUUGUCUUACGUAUUAGAGGAGCCCUAUUCUAACCAAAUAGCGCACUACCAGGGUUAUUUUAGAUUAGGCCGCAUAUUCCCCUGACAUAAAUCCAAUCAUGCCAGUUGUCACUAUUUCAGAGCAAUUAAAUAAUUACGGAUUUAAUUCCCUAAUUGACAAUAGGUUACUAAAUUAACUAAUUAUCCGGAUCCAGGACAAUUAAUUAAUUGAACAAUCAUAAGCACUGUAAUCAGAGAAUAUGCGAAUACUAAUAAAUAAAAGGAAAAGAUAAUAUUAAAUCGAUCUCACAAUUUUUAGGCGAACCAAAACCUCCAUUGUUUCUUGACUAGAAAAGGGGAUUUUAGUUCAUCCCUGACAAGAAAGACCCACACAAAAUUGCAGCAAUAGUUGCAGCCAUUGUCUCCGUGAUUGGCUAAAUUCAAUUCGGAGAAAUCAAGAAAAAAGGCAAGCUACAGGAACUAAUUCAAUGUCUUCACUUGGUCUUGACAUACGAAUAAUGGAACCACAAGAAGACGAAACGGAAAAGUCAAAAGCUAAACUACCAAGUCAUCUGCUAGUUGUCUCCUAUUUCUAAUUUCUAUCUAAUGCCUCCUGUGCGGCGUCCCCUACAGAGGAAGAAAGGAGAGAGCGUCCCCCCCUAGCGGAAUAGAAGACUUCAGCCUUUUCGUCCUUUUUUCCAUACUGUCUUCGGCCAAAUUACCAAAAAGGGGUCGCGUCUUGACGUUCCAAAAAUGCCCCUGCUACUUGAACUCUUUCCUGAUGAUUGCCAAAUUGGCACUUGUUAUGGUAUUUUCGUUCUACUCCCUAAAAUAAAUGCAAAUUACCAAAAGUGAGUAGAAUCUAAUAAUUAAUCCACAUCAGGUCAGGUAAUAGGGGAAAUUAAUAAUUAAAUAAAUGAUAAAAUUACAACCUAUCAAGUACAAUUGAAUACGUCUAGCAAAUUAUUUCUAGGAUUAAAGCUCCAUUAUGUCAUCUGGUGCAGAAAUAUUGCUCAGGAACAAACUCGAACUCAAGCUUCGACUUCGAGUUUGAGUUGGACUCUGGCUCGCCAUGUUAUCUUGACCAACUUUGGGCUUGUUAUUAUGCUGGUGAAUGGUGUUGGAUUCUUAAUCCAACAUUGGAAUUAAAUGUGAAUAAUUAUGUGUUGCUGACUAUCAAAUAAGAUUAAAUCCAAUCAAAGUGAUCAAUUAUGAUUUGGGGUUUAAUAUAUCUAAUAGGAUAUGAGUUUUUAAUGUGUAGAGAUUUAAGAAUAAUUUCUAUUUUUAUGACACGUUGAAAUAGGAAUUCAAAAGGUAACAGGAUAGUUAUCUUUAAAUAGGAUUAUAGUCCCUAGGUCAUACAUAUUCUUAUUGUCAUAUUUUUAGUACCACAAAAUAGUUCUUUUCUAAUAUCCCAUUGUCAGAAAAGAUACUAGAGAGAAAUUAAAUGAUUCCCUUAAGGAAUUAGCAAAUACGUGUUGAUUUGGAAGGCCACUUCAAAAUAUGGUUGAUUAUUGAGAAAUAGUUUGGAUUUAGGAAUAUUAAUGAUUGUACAACUGUUGACAACCUUGAAUUGUAGGUUUAAUGUUUUUGGUGAAGACACUGUCCAAUUCAUGUGGUGAUUUAUGCUUGACUUUUGGUUUCGAAAAGUUGUUCGUCUUUUUCCUAUUUCAAUAGAAAGCCAUGCAAGUAUGUUCAUUGAUUGUUUACUAUUGUUUCAUGAUACAGAUCUUGUGUCUUGACAAUCAUUGUAGAGCCCGCAUGAUAUGUAACUUAUUAAUAUGUUAAGGCACAAGUAUUAAUAGUUAUUUUCUUUGGCAUAUUUCUUUGUUUAAGUAUAAAUAUGCAUACAUUUAUGUUAAAAAAAAAUUAGGAUUUCUCUAAUUUGAAUGAACCAUAAUAAAGUUAAAUAAAACAUUUCAACCUUACAAAAUUCAUAAGGUUGGCCCACUAAGUAUAUAGUCUUAUAAGGCAUUUAUGGAUUUCAAAAAAAUUUUGAAUUUGAAUCAAAUGAUGGAUAUGGACUUUUAGUCCAAUAAGUCUUGACCCAUUUGACUAGUUUGACCAAAUUUGACUAGUUUGACCAUGUUUGACCAUGUUUGACCAGGUUUUGAUCAGAGUUGAUCAAAGUUGACUUUGAUCAAAAUUUUUGUGUAAUUUAUGUAAUUUUAAAUUUAAAUAUUGGUAUGAUUAUAUAUAUUUUGAAAUAAAUUAAUUGAAACAAUAUGCUACCAAAGUGACCUCUUUUGUAAAAAUUAAUUUAUUUCAGAAUAUAACUAGUUGGAUACUUGUAAUUUUGUGAAUAUUAAUCGAUCCAAAAGAAAAUUAAUGUUUAACAAAAUUGCAUGUGUACUUGUGGUAAUAAACUCGUGAUGAUUAUUCAUAUUUUUACAUGUGAAUUAUAAAUUGGUCCAAAGAAAAAUUUAUUUUUUGACAUGUUAUUAUUGUAAGUGUUUAUUACUGUUUCAAGAUAUCAUUUAGAAGCUAAUAUUUUUGUCCAAAAAUAAAAUAUUAAUGGAAUAUCGGUAUCUUAAAAUGGGGUUACCUUUAUUUGAAUUUAUUAUUAAUUUGGUCUAUAUGAACUUGUUUUAAUUAUUUCAUGUUUUCUAUUCAGUUGUGAAUAAUCUUACAAAUAUUACUACCAACAUCAUAAUAUUCCUAUGUUGAAUGGCACAAAUUUCAAGUUUUGGAAAGAAAACCUCCGAUAGUACUUAAAGUAAUGAAUCUCGAUCUUGCAUUAUGGGUUGACUCUCAUCCACCUCUUACAGAUCAGAGUACCUCUGAUGAAAAGAGAGAUAAAGAAAGGUGGGAGAGAUUAAAUCGCUUAUGUUUGGUGAUCAUUAAAGAAGCUGUUCCAAAAGCAUUCAGAGGAACAAUGUUAAAAACGACAGUUAUUGCUAACGAGUUUCUUUAAGACAUUAAAAAAAGAUUUAUCAAGAACGAAAAGGUUGAAUAAGUACGCUUUUGACAUUUCUGGUUUCUAUGAAAUAUAGUGGUAAAGAUAAUAUCAAAAACCAUAUCAUGAAGAUGUCUCAUCUUGUUUUGAAAUUAAAUGCACUUAAUUUAAUAUUCUCUGAAGAGUUACUAGUGCAUUUGAUUUUGAUAUCUUUUCUUGCACAAUUUAGCCAAUUUAAGGUAAGUUACAACGGUCAAAAGGAAACUUGAUCUUUAAAUGAACUCAUCUCACACUGUGUAGAGAAAGAAAAAAUGUUGAAAUAAGAUCAGACAGAAAGUGCGCAUCUAAUUUCAACUACUACUAAUAAAAGUAAGAGACAUCAACAAAAAAGAAGAAUAAAAAAAGCUGCAAGUACGGCACCUCAAGAAAAAAAAAAAAAAUUGACAAAUUCGGAAAAGAAUAGUUAUUUUUUCUGUAGAGAUGAAGGACAUAAAAAAAGUAUUGUACCAACUAUCACGCUUGACAUGCUAAGAAAGGUAUGUUUCUUAAUUUAGUUUAUUUUGAGAUUAAUUUAAAUUCGGUACCUAAACACAAAUAGUGAUUAGAUUCUGGUGCAACAAUUCACAACAAUGUGUUUAUGCAGAAUUGCCUAAAUUCCAGAAAGUCUAAUGAUAAUGAAAGAUAUAUCUACAUAGGCGAUGACAAAAUAGUUUAACUUAAGGCAAUAGGAGUUUUUAGAUUAUUGUUAAUGAUCAGAUUUUAUUUGAAUUUUAAUGAAAUAUUUAUUGUACCAUCUUUUCGACUGAAUUUGAUUUCUAUUUCUGUUUUAGACAAAUUUGAUUCUUUUGUUCAUUUGAAAAUGAGAAGUUUAAAUUGUUUCAUGAUUCAAAAUUGAUUGAUUCUAAUUCUUUAUUGUACUACGAUAAUCUAUAUUUAAUUAAUACAAUUGUAUCAUUUAAUGAAUCUCUGCAUUUGAGUACUAGAGAAGAAAAAAAAAACUAAUGAAAUUUUAGUUACAUUAUGGCACAAGAGAGUAGGUCACAUCUUUAGAUGAAGAAUAAAAAAACUUGUGUCAUAUGAAAUUUUUGACCUCUUAAAUUUUGCAGAUUUUGAUAAUUGUGUUAACUGUAUAAAUGGAAAACAAAUCAAUAAAAGAAAAUUUGAAACUAACAGGUCCUUGAAUGUCUUAAAACUUAUAUAUAUAGAUAUUUGUGGGUCAUUUUUCUACAUUUAUUUGGAAUGGCCAACAAUAUUUUAUAAUGUUCAUACACGAUUUUUUAAGAUAUAUAUACAUAUAUCUCAUUUCUAAAAAAUUGAAGUUCCUGGACGUGUUUAAAAUUUUUAAGGCUGAAGUUGAAAACCAAUUUAACAAACGAAUCGAAAGCAUCAGAUCUAACUGUGAUGGUGAGUACGAUGGUAGAUAUGGCGGUUCAGGUGAAUAACGUGUAGGAUUAUUUGCUAAAUACCUAGAGGAAUGCAAUAUCGUCCCACAGUACAAUAUAUCUGGUUCACCCACUAUGAAUGGUGUAGUUGAAAGACGAAAUAGAACACUUAAGAACAUGGUAAGGGGUGUGAUAUGUCAUUCUAUUUUAUCAGAAUCACUCUGGAAAGAAGCACUUAAAACUACAGCAUAUAUUCUUAACAAAGUUCUAACUAAAAUAACUAUCAAAAUUGCUAUGAGUUUUGGACAAGAAAAAGGUAUAGUUUAAAACAUUUACAUAUUUGGGGACGUUUAGUUGAAGCAAGGCCUUAUAGGCCAAAUGAAAAGAAAUUGGAUUAAAAAGUAGUUAGUUAUUAUUUUAUUGGAUAUUUUGAAAGAUCCAGGGACUACAAAUUUUAUGAUCCAAUGACUAAAUCGAUUUUUGAGACAGAAAAUGCUCGAUUAUUUGAAGAUGUCGAGUUUGGGGGAGAAGAUACAGUUAGGAACCUUGGCUUUGAAGAGAAAUAUGUUAAUAUUUUCACAGGUAUCAUUGAUUUUGUUCAGAAUCUCAUUCCUAACCUUGAUCAUAACACAACAAAUCAAAACAAUGUUGAAAAAUAAACUGUUAUAGAAGAACAAACUCUACCUUUUUAAAAAUCAAUGCCAUUAAGAAAAUUCACUAGAGAAAGGAGACGUGCAGUGCCAAUGAUUAUAUUAUUUUUCUGCAAAAACAUGAGCAUGACACUGGAUUGAUGGACGAAGAUCCAAUCAACUUCCAUCAAGUCAUGAAAAGUUUAAAUUCUCAAAAGUAGAUCGAUGCUAUAAAUGAAGAGAUUAAAUUCAUAAAAGAUAAUGAUGUUUGGGAUUUUAUCUCAUUACCAAAAGGAGUAAAAUUCAUCGAUUGUAAAUGAAUAUUUAAAAUCAAGAGAGAUUCGAAAAGUAAUAUGAAAAGAUACAAAAUUCGUUUUGUCGCUAAGUUCUUUAUACAAAAGAAAGGCAUCGACUAUAAAGAAAUCUUCUUUCCGAUCUUUUCGAAGGACUCUUUGAGAAUUAUAAUGGCAUUAGUGGCAUAUUUCAAUAUUGAGUUACACUAAAUGGAUAUAAAGAUAGCGUUCUUAGUGGGGACAUUGAAUAGACGAUUUAUAUGAUGUAACCAACAAAUUUUGUAUCAAGAGAUCCAAAAAAUAUGGUUUGUAAAUUUAAAAAAUUCAUCUAUGAUUCGUAUGAGUUCAAGCAAGCAUCUCGACAAUGGUAUUUCAAUUUCAUCAAAUGAUCAUCUUAUUUAAUUUUGAGAUAAAUUUAGUUGAUGAUUGUAUAUACCAUAAGUUCUGUGAGAGUAAAUAUAUUUUUCUGGUUUUGUAUGUCAAUGACCUUUUAUUUGUCAGUAACAAUAUAAGUCUAUUGCAUAAAAUCAAGAGAUUUCUAAUUAAGAAUUUUGAGAUGAAAGAUCUUGGUGACACAUAUUAUAUGCUACGUAUAAAGAUACGCUGGGAUCGCUCUUAGGGUAUUUUGAAACUAUCACAAAAAGACUGUAUAAAAAAGAUUAUUAAAAGAUAUGAUAUGUAAAAUUAUAAAUUAGGUGACACCCUUGUGGCUAAAUGGGACAAAUUCAGUCUUGAUCAGUGUCCUAAAACUACUUUUGACGAAAAGAAAAUAUAAAAGACUUCUUAUGCAUCAGCAGUAGGGAGUCUAAUGUACGUUCAAGUAUGUAUGCAUUCGAAUAUUACAUAAUUAUUGGAAUGUUGCAUAGAUAUUUAAGUAAUCAUAAAUUAGAUCAUUGGAAGGCAACCAAACGGGUUUUGCGGUAUUUAUAGAAAAUAAAAGAUUGUCACGUAUCGGAGGUCAGAAAAACUCGAGAUCAUUGGGUACACUGAUUCCAAUUAUACUGGAUACCAAGAUAAUACGAAGUCAAUAUCAGACUAUAUUUAUUUAUUGCUUGGAGGUGCCAUAUCUUGGAAGAGUACUAAUCAGUCUCUUAUAACCUCUUCUACUAUAACUGUAGAAUUUAUAGUUUAUUAUAAGACAUCCAAUCAUGGAAUGUGGCUGCAAAAUUUUGUCAUAAGAUUACGUGUAAUUGAUGGUAUAAAGACUAUUUAAAUUAUUUUAUGACAAUGAGUUAGCUGUCCUAUAUUCCAAUAACAACAGGAGUUCGAUAAAAUCUAAACAUAUAGAUAUCAAGUUCCUGAUUGUUAAAAAAAAAGUACAGAGUGGACAAUUGUCGAUAGAGCAUAUGGAGACAAGUUCUAUGGUUAUAGAUCCGCUUACUAAGAGAUUACCACUCAAAAUAUUUCAUGAGUAUACUACUCAUAUGGGUGUCAUUUAUUAAAUGAUAUUCAGUUUUAGUAGGAGUUUGUUAUAUUAAAUACCCUUAUGAUAUUGUAUUUUUCGAUUAUUAAUGUUAAGAAUAUUUUAUGCACAAAUAAAGUUUGAAUUUAUUAUACUCUGAUUUUGAUAUAGUUUGAUCUUGCAAAUUUUAAGAUAGACCAGUGGAAAAUAAGCAUGUUAUGAUCACAUUAUAUGAAAUUUUCAUACUACACAUUCAAAUCAUAGUUCAUACCAUUUAAUUAUAUCAACGUAUAUGACCAUUGAUGGGUCGAGUUACGAAAUUAUAACAAAAAUCGCUUUGAUCCUAUGUUGGUGUAAUUGAUGGGCUGAAUUGAUUGUAAAUACAUUUUGGUUAUGAAAGCAAAGUUGAACUCGUAUGGUUAAUUGCAAAACAUAAUUAUAAUGUUAUACAUAUGGUCCAAAUGAGAUAUUGUUGGAUCUUUAAUUCAAUGUUGGACUUAUAUGUGAAUAAUUAUGUGUUAUAGACUGUCAAAUAAGGUUAAAUUCAAUUAAAGUGAUCAAUUAUGAUUUGGAUUUUAAUAUAUCUAAUAGAAUGUGGCCUUUAAUGUGUAGAGAUUUAAGGAUAAUUUCUAUUUUUAUGAUGGGUUGAAAUAGGAUUCCAAAAGGUAACAAGAUAGUUAUCUAUAAAUAAGAUUAUGAUCCUCAGAUCACAUGUAUUCUUAUUGUUGUAUUUUUAGUACCAUAAAAUAGUUCUUUCCUGAUAUCCCAUCAUUAGAAAAGAUACUAGAGAGAAAUUAAAGGAUUUGCUCAAGGGAUUAGCGAAUACGUGUUGAUCUGGAAGACCACUCCAGAAUCUCUAAAAAUUCAAGUACCAAUUAGUUAACAUGAAUCCAGGCACGCUUCUGCAAUUUCGCUAUUAAUUUAUUUCUUAAUAAUCAAGAUUUUGGUUUUAAUAGGUGAUGGUUUUCAUCAAAAGUUGAUAGAAACAAUCACUAACAAAUAGAACUCAAGCGCUUUGGAAAGGUUUUCGUUGAGCUUAAUUUUAAGGAAAUCUCUUAAAAUACGAGUUUGAACAUGUGAUACCCCGAAUUUUAGGACAAUGUUUUUCCUCGUUCUUUUAAAAUUUCGAUUUAUUUCUUUUGUUUUGUUUUAAAAAAAUUAUUUUUUUAAUUGGACACUUUAAAUUUAAAUCAAAGCCCUAGUUUUACUUGUGACUAAAAGGUUAUUAUGUAAUUGAGUUCAAUGCAUAUUUUAUUAUAGGUAAUUAUAAUGGUUGGGUGGUUAGUAGAUUAAUGAGGUGUAAUCAAGCUUGUGGAUUUCAUUAAGUUAGUGAUCUAUGGAGUUAAUUGGAAAGAUUAAAAGAAGUUGGGGUCAUAGUGUGAGGAUUAGCAAAGUAAGAUUUUUAGUAACAUCAAAGCUUCUAGGAUCUUCCUAAACUUAAAUUUGAUUGGUGGAGAAAAAGUCUAAGUUGACCAUUGGGUUAAAUAUCUUCUAUUGUUAGUAAAUGAAAAACAAAGCCAAAAAUUAAGAGGAAAAAGAGAGAGAGGGCCGAGAGCUCUAUGGGAGGUUCAAGAGAAAAAGUUUCAACUUUGGUUUCUUGAUUUCUUACUCAAUCUUGCAAACUAAUCGAUAGCUUCACCAAAUAAUCCAUAGAAAUUGCUUAGGAAGAUGGAUUGCUAUCUUGGAGUGGAGUGUUUUGGUGGUUCAAGCUUCCUAGGGGUUGUUGUGCUUCUCUAAUGCUAGGUAAGGUUGGUAUUAGUUCAUGUUUGUGUUCUUUAUUAGUUUACAAGUGAAAGUUAUGGCUUGUUUAGGUAGAUUUCAUGAUUUUAGUAGUGGUUAUAGUAAAUUCCAGCCUUCUAGUGUAAUUUUCAGCUUUGGUUGUUGAAAUGGAUGGUUGUUCUUGGUGUUCAUGAUGUGGUAAUGCUUAUGCUUAGUGUAUGGAACUGAAUUCAUGGUUAAAAAUUGUUGGGUUUGUAAAAAUUCGGUCAGCAAGAAAGGUGAUUGGUAAGAAUUGAUUUCCAGUUUUAAUGUUGAAAUUGUCCUGUUUCUGACCGUGUCUUUUAGUCCAUGUUAGAAGCUGAAUCAGCCUUAGAUUAAAACAUGAAAGUUGUAGAAAAUGAUGUUUUAUAGCUUCCUGCAAAAUUUCAGCUCAAUUCGAGCACUGUAUCACGUGAAAAGACAAAAAUACCAUUGACUGCCAUAGGUAGAGCUCUGUGGACAGUUUUGAUAUUUCACCAUUCUGGCUGCAUUUUUUUCACCUUGAUCCGUAUUGAAUUAGCAUUUGGCCAAAACACAAAAGUUGUAGUGCUAUGUUUUAUCUUUCCAACGCCAUUGAAAACGCCUCAAUUGGACUUUUGUAGCCUGAGUUAUUGUCAGUUGAACGCAGUGCUGUUAACCAGCCUGACAGUGAAAUUCUGGUUCUGUAAACGAUGAAUUUGACUUGGAUACACUAUGAACUGUGUCGCGCCCCAUUUUUUGAUAGAAUGAAUAAAUGGUUUAAAAAUGUAUUUUUUGAUUCAAUUUGUGAUUUGGAAAAUGAAUUGUGAUUUAAAAGAAAAAUGGGUCUAAAUGGGGGUUUGAGAAUGCGACGAUUUGACCCAAAAUUAUAGUUUAAAAAGGGUUUUUGAAAUAAAAAAUCGGAGUCGCCACUUGGUAAUGAGUUAAGGUGUACCAAGUCACCUAAAAAUGAAUUUUUAAAGAAAAAUAGGAAAAAGUAGUAAGAAACCCCUUUUAAACGACUCCUAGUCCACGUAAACUAACGAAAAAGGUUCGGGAGUCACAUUUGACGAAGGGGAAGGCAAGGAUAAAAUCCAAGGCACCCCUUCGACCUAGCCAAGGCUAGUUGCUUGAUUUAAUCAAAGAUUUUCUUGCUUUAACCAAAGAAUUUAUUACAUUUGGAUGUACUACAUGAAUGCAAACCCUAGACCUAGGGGUAUUGGGGGAAAUUUCUCUUCAAAGGUUGAGUGGUGCCAAUCACAUUAAUUGUGAAGCCCAAUGACGAUCCUUUGAAAAAGUUACGAAUAAUGCGAGUGGGAUGCAAAUGAAUGGAAUGCAUGUAUGCAAUGUGAGGACAUGAGUUUUGAAAAAGUAAUAAAAAAAACAAUAAAUAUGUAAAUGAAAAUGUGCACGUGAGUGGGCAAGGUACGGUAUGUGAAAUGAUAAUAUGAAGUGCAUGUGUGCAAAACGGGAAGAAAAAUGAAAGUGUAAUGAUAGAGUGGAUUUAGAAUGCAUGAGCCUAGGGAUGUAUGCAUAUUGGGCACGGGGAGACCUAAAUCGUGACUCAAUUUUCCCUUUGAUAGAGGGAAUACAAGCGUGCUAAGGUUUAGAAAAAGCCACACUCGUCUAUAUCCCAUAUUUAAGGGGACUCUCAAGCAAAUGAACCCUAUAACUAGCAUGAAAUGCAAAAAUCCUAAAAUGGAGGGAAAAGGGGUUUGAGAGGCAUGCACAAUGAUAAAACUAAAAAGAAUGCAUGACAUGUAAUGAACAUGCGAACAUGCACUAACGAGGGGAAAUCCCUAAGGGUCUAGCGUUGGAUUAGCCCAUUCUAUGAAUUCCGACUAGCAUUGGACUAGCGGAAACGCACAUUCAUCCAUCACAUUCAUUCAGGCUAUGGAAAGCGAGUAGACAUGCCAAACACUUAUAAACACAUAGCACAUAACAUUUAGCAUGCUCGACUAGAUGCAAGAGCCUAAUAAAGCAAAUUAACACGUAGUAACUAAGCAUGCAAGACACAUAAAGCAAUUAAAGCCCUAACUAUUACAUUUGCUAGCUAGACACAUGUCUUCAACAGGUCUUCAUCGAAUGCUCCUCCAAGCCCUAUCUAUUACAAGCCAAGAGGUGUACACAUACCCCAUAAAGAACAACUUAAUGAAAACAAAAGUAAAUGACAUAAAUAAAAGGAAUUAAGGAAAAGCUAGGAAAGCAAAUUAGACAUGCAAAUCUCACUUAGCACAUUGGAUCACAUAGGAGACACAAAAGGGAUAAAAGAAAUUAUACCGCCCCCUUUGAAUGGUGUCCAAAUGAAAGAAAAAUGGCUUCAAAACAAUAAAAAGGUCACGGUACCUCAAAUAGUAAAGUAUAACAAAGUCACCAAAACUCUCCUAAUUGCAAUUUAAAUGAAAUCAAAUAAUACAUAGUUUCCAAUAAAGGGAUCCACCAAAGACCCAAUUGCAAGCAUUAAUCAACCAUUCAAAGCCAAUUGAAACAUUUUAGAAACUUUGAAAGUCAAAGAGCAAGAAAAAGGCCAAAGCCUAUUUAUUUCAGAAAAUUCAAGAAAAUAGGCGAACACAAGCUCAUUCAAACACAAAGUUCUUAAAUUCUUGCAUUAAGCACCACCUAAACAAAUGAAAGCAAAUGAUCAAUCGAGUUGCAAAGUUGAGGCUACCAAGGACUCAAUUGUGAACACUAACCAAGCACUCAAGCCUAAUCAAACACUUUUAGGAACUUCAAAGGUCCAAGGGCAAAGGAAAAGGCAAGUAACAAUUCAAAUUGCAAUUAUUCUAAAACCCAUUUGCAAGAAAUUAGAACAUGCUUGGGCUUUUGUGGAACAUGGAGAAACUUGAGGGAUCGAAUUGAUUAAGUGUUCCAAUUACUUGGGCCAUAGUGAGUCAAGAGGGGACUUGGGGGGUUAAAGAGCAAUUUUUAGCAAUUAUCCAUGCAUGCAACGAAUGCAAACUCACGUAAGAUAACAUUCUGCAACAAACCCAACAAACAAAACUGCUGCACUUUGUUCCACUUUCCAACACUAAUUUUGAUCAAAAAUCUUUCAACCAAACAUUCAAAGCUAAUCUAAACAUCAUAACACACAAAUUCAGAAUUCAAACAAACCCAAAUAUAGAAGAAAACUGAUGCAAAGACACAAGGAAGCUCAUGCAUUCAGCAGAUUCCAGCCACGGCAUUUCUUUUCAUUUUUAUCAUGCAAACCAGAUUUUUGAUUCAAACUCACAGCUUUGAUUAGAUAUUCCUCAUUUCAAUAUCACAACUUUACUGAGUAACAAACUACAUGAUGAUCACAAUCAAAUGACCAGAAACUUGGAAAGAUAUAAUACGCAAAUUCUGGAAAAAGAAUGCAGAAAAAGAGAAACAAAAACUCUCUUAUCAUCUCAUCAACAUAGGCUGAAUACCAGAAUUUUGGCUUGGGCAUGCAUAUGGUGUAUGAACUGAGCAACAAACCACAUCAUUACCAUCAUCCAAGCAGGCAGAAAACUUAGAAAAAUCCCAUGCAAAAUUCUGGGCAAGUAUGCAAACAUUUGAUAAACAAAACUGAUGCAAUUUUUUUUUACCCACUCAGCCGAGAAAGCAUUCAUGAAAACGACUCAACGCAUUUCCCAUCAUUCAAACCCAACAUACAAAGACUUGAAACAAAUGUAGGGGGAAUAUCUAACCAGCUUUCGAAUCAAAAAAAAAAUGGAAUGACAUGAUUUGAAAACAUAUUGACUUUGAAGAAAAACAAGAAUUUCUGCAGCUUUUUCUUUGCAAAUUCAGCAUGUUUACAAACAUUUACAUGACCCAAAGAAACCUGGAAAUGCCUUACUCAAUGACCCAGCACUUCAACCCAAUCUACUUUAGAUUAAACGGCAAAAUCAUAAGUUCCAUCCCUGCCUUCCUCCCCCCAGAAAAUCCAGAAGCAAAAGAUGCAAACUUUAGCUAUCUUUUCUGCAGUAAACUUCGGACUGUGCAUUCCCAGAUUGAAACGUAAGCAUAAUCAUUGAACAACAACCAAGAACAUGCAGCCUGCUAACCAGAAUCUACAACAUUUAAGUAAGCAACAAAAAAAACCAUGACACAAACAAACAGCAGCAAAAGGCGACAGCUUUGGACAAUGAAAAGGACCGCACAAAAAUAGCAUCUGUCUAGCAACCAAAUCCACAACUCAUGAGUCCAGAAUCUCUGGUUUACACACAGCUAAUUAAUCAUCCAGUAUUUAGUUAGCUAAACACACAACCAAGUGAGGAUCAAAUGCUUUCCGGUAGAUUUCGUACUAAAAUACCAUACAAUUUUCAAAACAGCUCCAUCGGCUAAGCUGGAAAAUUGGUUUAGCAAUCCAGCAACUUCCAAUAAAAUUUUCCAGCCAUGCAACCGAAUUCCUAGCCAUAAAGAUCACAUGCAACACCAAAUAAAGAGCUAUCUAUCAGAUUGGGUCCAAAAUCAAGUUCAAAUGUCAUCAAAAAUCACCAUUUAACCAGAAAUUCAUCCAAACUUCUCUCGGUUGACAUGCAUGCAACCAGGUUUUAUAAUCCUUCAAUUUUCUUGCUUAAACAAGGUUGAUUAACCUCAUGCAAGGCUCAAUCAUCCAGCUAUUAAUUAGCUAAACAUACAAUUAAGCUCAGAUCAUCACAACUUAGUAAGUUAAAGCUGAAAUUUCCAGCUCAAGCAAUCGGACAGUUCCAAUUCCUUCAAAAUCAGAUUUUCUUGUAACUUAGUUCAUCAUCCAACCGUACAACCCCACAUGCAUGCUUGUAAACAGCUUCAUCAACCCAUAAACAACUCAUCUAAGUCCAGAAAUUACCUCAGCUUGAAGCUUAAUACACACGACUAGCAGCUGCAACAAACCUCCACUCUCGGCUCUGCUCACGCACGCAGGGUUGGUUGGUCUGAGUUCAGUGGUUGCAGUUGUAGUGAUUGUGGUUGAAUUGAGCACGGCUGGUUGAGGUGAAGAAUAAAAUGGCAGCUCUCGGAUGAUGGAGAAAGUGAUGAAGCUCACGCAAUUGUCUCCUGCUCUCACCCUCCCUCGGACAGUUCAAGUACCGAAGCUCGCACGGCUCUCUCUCUGAUUUCUCUCGUCGAUGAUACCAAGGCAGAAAGUGAAGUGAAACGGAAUGAUGUUGUGGAGUGUUGGGGUUGCUGAAAUGGAAAGCUCAGCUCGGAUGAGGGAGGUGAAAUGUAUAUAUUGAGGUGUUGUGAGUGGAGCUGGUCGGCACUCCGGCAGAAAUGGAGAUGUUUUUUUUUUUUUUGAAAUUAAUUAAAUAAAACUGAUAAUAAAAAUAGAUAACGAACAACAAAAACAACAAAGCACAAUUUUCCAUUUUUCAUCAAUUUCCUCUUUUCUCUUUUUUUUUUUUUACAAAUUUUACAUUAAAACUUAAAACUAAAACUAAAACUAAAACGUGAACAAAAUUAAAAUGACAAAUAAUUAGCAAAUAAAAGACAAAUAAAAAGGUAACAACUAAAAUGCAGACAAUCUAAAACAAAAUCAUGAAUUAGAUGCAACAUACAAAUUAUUUAAAAAUUUGGUGUCUACAGUUUGCCCCUCUUUGUUUGAGUUUUGAAAAAACUUGAGACAAAGAAGUAGACACCAGAUACUUACCUGUGUUAUUCGGCUGCAAAAUGAUUUGAACGGACAGGAAUUUUAAAAACGGGACUGACCCGAACAAGGAAUUUAAAACGGGACUGACCCGAACAGGAAUUUAAAACGGAAUUUAAAACGGGACUGGCCCGAACAGGAAUUUAAAACGGGACUGACCCGAAUAAGGAUUUAAAACGGGACUGACCCGAACAGGAAUUUAAAACGGGACUGACCCGAAUAAGGAUUUAAAACGGGACUGGCCCGAACAGGAAUUUAAAACGGAAUUUAAAACGGGACUGGCCCGAACAGGAAUUUAAAACAGGACUGGCCCGAACAGAAAUUUAAAACGGGACUGGCCCGAACAGGAAUUUAAAACGGGACUGACCCGAACAGGAAUUUAAAACGGGACUGACCCGAAUAAGGAUUUAAAACGGGACUGGCCCGAACAGGAAUUUAAAACGGGACUGACCCGAACAGGAAUUUAAAACGGAAUUUCACUGGGGAAGUUUAAACAAUGAAUUAAGUUUUUUUUUUUUUUUACCUGAGAAUAGUUCAACUUUUGUACCAAGAGGGAAAUUUGGAUUUCUGUGACUGAAACGAUAGCUGAUGCUGUUUCUUAUGAUCGAGUCUUGCAAAUAACAUCGAUCCUUGUUUACUGGGAAGCUUUGUCUGACAUCGGUUUAGGUGCCAAAAAGAGAGUGGCUGCUUUUGUUUGUAAAUGCAACAUUCCUGCAAGAAAAGAAGAAAUAAUGGGCUUGCCACCAUUAUUUGAUCCGGUUUGCCUUGAGAGUCGUGUAAACAUGAGUCUUAUGAUGCUUUUAUUUCGGCUCGGCGGCGUCUGCCUUAAACCUUUCAAUUUCUGAGACUGAUAAAAUGCAGAUUUACCACGUCACCCAAUCCAGGUGGUAGCUUUGUUGUAUGUUACUCCCUGUAACUGAUGAUUGAAUCCCCUAUCUUUGCACAAACCUCAGGGUUUAUCAUUCAUUUGAAUUUAAUGGUGAAAGAAUGAUGCAUGAAAAUUAGUCAUAUAAAAAUCAAUGUAUAUGCAAGAUGAUUUCCUAUGUUAGGCAAAGAUGAGCAUGCAAAAGAAUGUAGACAAUCAUAAGCAUUCAUACACAAAUAAUUUGAGAAUAACCAAGAGGUUUAUAAAGAUACAUUUUGCAAAAGAAUAUUUGUAAAGAACAAAUACAAAUUUAACCAACGAAUAUCAUAUUCAAAACUUUGGAUAUUUUCUCUUCGGAAUCCGAUAUUGGCAGAAGUAUCACAAAUAUGAGGAAAACCCCAAAUGAACCAGGUCACCGGCUGUUCCUUCUUGAGCUUGUCUGUUGAGAAAACCUACCCUGGCGCCUUUUCGGGUUUUCACCAAGGUUGCCCCCACCCUUUUUGUUGUUUUUUUUUCUUUUUUUCGAGGCGCCCUUUCGGGUUUUCACCUAGAGAACCAUGAAAUAUCUCGACCAUUAUCGACUCAGAAAUAUGAAUUGAAGAUUUCUGGCAUCAGUAGAAUGCAUUUCCCUUGUGAGAUUAGGCGAAAGCAUUAUAGACAUCACCUGCCAGUUGAUUAACAAAUUUCCUAAUAGAAAUACAGCGAGUGACGAAAACCAGGACUUUGGGCUUUUGUAAUGAAGUCCGGUGGGGUGUUUUUCAAGAAAAGUUGAGACUUGAAAGCAGAUUUGAUACGAGGGAUGAAAUAACUUGAGAUUGCACCCUUUUGAAAACAACUCCAAAACUGAGGAAACUUUGCCCCAGUUUGACCAGAUUUUUUUCUCUUUGCAUUUUUCAUUGUAUUUUCCUCACUUUUUGCAUUUUUCUUUGAAAACUAAAUUUGCCCCAGUGUAGGGUUUUCUUUUUUCUUUUUCUUUCUUCUUUUUUUUUUUCUCAAAAAUAAAUUUGCCCCAGUGUGGGGUUUGCAAUUCUCAAGGGUUAUGGUUAUCAAACGAAAUUUGUCAAUUCUGAUGGCUCAAAGGGGACAAGUAGAGAUAAAAAUGUUUUUAGUGUAAAAGAAGAUGGCCUAACUUGCAUUUCGCCAUUUGCAUGAAUUUCUAAAGAAAAUUUGCAUGAUCAAAUGAAAAACUUUUUGCACAUAUCUGAGUUGAUGGGUUGAGGGAAAACCCGUCCAUCCAUUUCCGCCAAAAUAAGAGCUCCGCCAGGUAAUACCUUUUGGAUAAUGAACGGCCCUUGCCAAUUUGGAGCGAACUUGCCUUUAGCUUCAUCUUGCAUUGACAAAAUUCGCUUCAGUACCUUAUCACCUUCUUCAAAUGCCCGCCGAUGGACUUUUUUGUUGUAAGCUCGGGCCACACGUUUUUGAUAGCAUUGCCCAUGACAGAUAGCAUUGAAUCGCUUCUCAUCUAUCAAAGUCAAUUGCUCAUGGCGCUGCUUGAUCCAAUCGGCCUCCUCCAAUUUAGCUUCCAUAAGGAUUCGUAGCGACGGAAUUUCAACCUCAGCUGGUAAUACAGCUUCCAUCCCAUACAUAAGUGAAUAUGGCGUUGCCCCAGUCGAUGUCCGAAUAGAAGUCCGGUACGCCAUCAAUGCAUAAGGCAACUUUUCAUGCCAAUCGCGAUGCUUUUCUGUCAUUUUGCGGAUAAUUUUCUUCAGAUUCUUAUUUGCGGCUUCUACAGCUCCAUUCAUCUGAGGCCUAUAAAUGGCAGAAUUGCGGUGUCUGAUCUUGAACUGCUCGCAUAGUCCAUCCACCAUGUCAUUGUUCAGAUUCUUGGCAUUGUCCGUAAUAAGCGUUUCGGGUACUCCAAAGCGACAGAUGAUGUGAUCUCUCAAGAAAUUGGCAACUACCUUCUUCGUCACAUGUUUGAAUGACUCUGCUUCAACCCAUUUGGUAAAGUACUCGAUCGCCACCAAUAUAAAUCGAUGUCCAUUUGAAGCGGGAGGAUCGAUUGUACCAAUCACGUCCAUACCCCACAUUGAACAGGGCCAUGGGGCGGUCAUGCUAUGCAGUUCAGUGGGUGGAACGCGUAUAAUGUCACCGUGCAUUUGGCAUUUUAUACAUCUCCGGACAAAAUCUAUACAAUCAUGCUCCAUAGUAAGCCAGAAGUAUCCGGUUCUCAUGAUUUUCUUCGCUAGCAAAUGGCCAUUCAUGUGAGGUCCACAAACGCCACUAUGCACUUCCUUCAUCAUAUAUUGAGCUUCAUCUUCAUCAAUGCACCUUAAAAGGUUCAAAUCCAAAGUUCUUUUGUACAACACUUCUCCAUUUAAGAAAAAUUUUGAAGCCAUUCUACGCAGAAAAUUCUUGUCUUUUGUACCAGCAUGUAGAGGGUAAGACCCUGUUUUGAGAAACUCCUUGAGAUCAGUAUACCACGGAACAUUAUCGGAGGACUUGUCUACAACCCAACAGUGGGCAGGUUUGUCUUGAAGUUGAAUCGGAAUUGGCUCGAUCCUCAAUUCAUCAGGAUAUCGGGUCAUAGAAGCUAAAGUGGCCAAAGCAUCGGCAAAUGCGUUCCGGGCACGUGGAAGAUGUCUGAACUCCAAAUUUCGAAAUUGCUUGGCCAGAGUAAGCAGACUGCAAUGGUAGGGCAGAAUUUUUGAAUCUUUGGUUAUCCACUGUUUCAAGGUUUGAUGCACAAGCAAAUCUGAAUCGCUGAAAGCUAUCAACUCUUUGAUUUCCAUUUCCAAAGCCAUUUUGAGACCAAAAAUGCAAGCUUCAUAUUCAGCCAUGUUGUUUGUGCAGGCAAAUUGCAAUUUGGCAGCGGCAGGGUAAUGUUUCCCUUCGGGUGAAACCAGAACAGCUCCAAUUCCAACUCCGAGGGAAUUCGAAGCUCCAUCGAAGAAAAGCCUCCAUUCAGGGCUUUGUUCACUUAUAUCAUCUGUAGCGCCUACGAAUAAAACUUUCUCAUCAGGGAAAUACGUAUGAAGUGGCUGAUAAUCAUCAUCCCUUGGAUUUUCCGCCAAAUGAUCCGCUAUAGCUUGCCCCUUGACCGCCUUUUGUGAAGUGAAAACAAUAUCAAACUCUGAGAGAAUUAUCUGCCAUUUGGCCAGGCGUCCGGUUAACAUCGGUUUCUCCAAAAGAUACUUCAAAGGAUCAGAUCGGGAAAUAAGAUAAAUGGUAUGGCUCAACAGGUAGUGUCUCAAUUUUUGGGAUGCCCAGGCCAAUGCACAACAGCUUUUCUCAAUGAAUGAAUAAUUAGCCUCAUACUGCGUGAACUUCUUGCUUAGAUAGUAAAUGGCUUGUUCUUUCCUUCCAAAGUCAUCGUGCUGACCUAGAACACACCCUACUGCUCCAUUGAGUACAGAUAAAUACAUAAUCAAAGGUCGGCCUGGUUUGGGCGGCACUAAGACUGGUGGAUGCAACAAAUAAUCUUUAAUCUUGUCGAAAGCCUGCUGGCACUCCUCAUUCCAAUACAACGGUACAUUCUUUCUUAAUAAUUUGAACAAUGGCUCGCAUGUGGCAGUUAAUUGGCCGAUGAACCUCCCGAUGAAAUUGAUCUUCCCUAAGAAGCUUUUCACGUCCUUCUGAGUUUUCGGCACUGGCAUAUCUCGAAUUGCUUUGAUUUUCGCCGGAUCUAUUUCUAUGCCCUUCUUGCUAACAAUGAAUCCCAACAGCUUACCCGCAGGUGCUCCAAAGGCGCAUUUCACAGGAUUUAACUUCAAAUUGUACAUCCGCAAUCUUUCGAAUAACUUAUUCAAAUCAACCAAAUGGUCCUCUGCCCUCUUAGACUUGAUUAUGAUGUCAUCCACAUAGACCUCCAUCUCCCGGUGGAUCAUAUCAUGAAAUAGGGUUGUCAUGGUCCUCUGAUACGUUGCUCCAGCAUUCUUUAAACCGAAAGGCAUGACUCGGUAGCAAAAGGUACCCCAAGGGGUAAUGAAAGCAGUUUUCUCCCUAUCCUCUUCUGCCAUCAAAAUUUGGUGGUAGCCAGCAAAACAAUCGCAAAAGGAUUCAAUCUCAUGUCCGACAGUAUUGUCUAAGAGAAUGUGAAUGUUUGGUAGAGGGAAAUCAUCUUUAGGACUGGCUUUAUUAAGGUAUCUAUAAUCAACGCAAACUCGCACCUCUCCAUUCUUUUUUGGAACAGGGACUGGAUUCGAAAGCCAAAUUGGGUAAUGGGAAACAAUGAUAAUGUUGGUUUUGAGUUGUUUUUCAAUUUGCUCUUUUAUUUUGAGGCUCAUAUCUGGUUUGAAUUUUCUGGGUUUUUACUUUACGGGUGGAAAAGAAGGGUCUGUGGGUAACCUAUGCACUACCACGUCAGUUGAAAUGCCAGUCAUAUCAUCAUAGGACCACGCAAAUACAUCCUGGAACAUGGUCAAGAAUUCAAGCAUCUCAUUUUUCUGUCUUUCACUCAAAUGAAUACUAAUUUGCACCUCCUUAACUUCAUCCUCAGUGCCAAUGUUAACCUUUUCUGUUUCUUCCAGGUUCGGUUUUGGUUUUUUCUCAUAUUGUUCAAGGUCCUUUGCAAAAGAAUCGAAUACCUCCUCAUUAUCACUCUCGCUUUGGAGUUCGGAUUCACAGACCUCCAAGUCAUGAGUGAUAUAGAGAUUGCCGUUAUUGAAUUCUAGAAUUGUGAUAUCCAAAGGGUCAAAUAAUUUUAUUUUUGGCCAUCUGAAAGAAUUAACGAAUGUGGGAUAAUAAGCAGAUAAGCAUACAACAAACCAAUGAACAAGCAAUAUAAAUAUAAACAAGCGAAUAAACAACACAACAUGACAAGAAAAACUUGUGCACUUUCUAUAAAGCCUUUGAUUGAAAGCAAAUGGAAAUGAAAACUUAACAAUAUUUACAUGUGCAAAUGUUAGUCAAAAGUAAAAUUGUUUUCAUUGGCUAUUUACAGAUGCAAAAGUAUUUUCAUGAAUUCACAUGAAUGAUAAACCCCUUUCAGUUUACCGAAACUCCUUUCGAAUGGGCAGAGCCUCGGCUGUCCAGUUGGGAAUUGAUCCAUCGAGGAUGUCAGGAAAUUCAGCUUCGCUCGGAACACUAUCUUCAAAUGUUGCCCCAACGAACAAUUGGGCCAAACUUGCUUCAAUUUCGUCAACUGGGUUGAUUUCUGACAUGAUCACCUCGGCUGGUCGUGGGAAAGUAUAUUGCAGGGGUGGAAUGUCAAGAGCCCUUUGCCUUCCUUCCUUCUCCGCUUUCUUGCGCUCCUUCAUCUCUCUAAUGUCCUUAGCAGUUGGUCGGAAACCCAAACCAAACGAAUCAUUUUUCUCCACAAUCUCCACUGGCUUUAAAAUUCCUUGCAGAUCUCGUCCCAGCCCUUUGUCAAAUUCAUAGCCUCCGCGGAUCAUCUCCUUAGCCAUCAUGACACUGGCCCUUGAUAGAGCUUGCUCCUCCUUUGUUAUCCAACUGACGGAGACAAUAUCAGAUGUGCUAUGAGGGGUCACUGUGGAGCUUCGGCUACCCUCUUCUUUGGACUCGGAAUCGGUGAUUACAAGACAAUCCUCUUCGGCAAAUAUAGUUAUCAGCUUGUCAUUUACUACAAAUUUCAGCAAUUGAUGCAAUGAAGAAGGCACCGCCCCAGACUUGUGAAUCCAUGGCCUGCCAAGCAAAACGUUGUAAACACUAGGAAAGUGCAUGACUUGGCAGGUUAUUUGAAACUGGGCGGGCCCCAUUUCAACUACUAAAUCAACUUCUCCUAUUGGCUCUCUUUGCGCUCCAUCAAAACCUCGGACUAUGGUCCCUGAAGGCCUCAGCUUGACGUCUUGCAAUCCUAGCUUUUCCAAGGUGCUCCAAGGACAGAUAUUAAGCGCAGAUCCGUUGUCAAUCAACACCUUCGGCAACAUUUUCCCGUUGCACCUCACGACUAUGUACAGGGCCUUGUUAUGUCCAAUGCCUUCCGCCGGCAAUUCCUCGUCAGAGAAAGUGAUUUGUUUGGUGAAUAAUACGUUCCCAACCACAUGUGAGAAAUUAUCAACUGAAAUGUCCUUAGGGAUUUGAGCUUUAGUCAGUACUUCGAUCAGCGCGUCCCUAUGCAUGUCUGAUGAAAAGAGCAGGUCCAACAUGGAUAUCUGAGCAGGUGACUUGCUUAGCUUCUCGAUUACAUUGUAUUCGCUUCUCUGGAGCCUUUUAAGAAAAUCCAAGGCUUCUUUCUCGGUGAUUGUUGGUUUAGCAGGCGGCUCAGAGUUAUUUGCUGGAAUCGGAAUGGCAGUUUCAAACGGACUGGCAGUCUUCCCCGAUCUGGUAACCACUGACACUUCCUUCUUUGCAAUUGACUUCUCCCCAAUCUGUAUGACAGGUUCAUCGUAAUUCCAUGGCACUUGCUGCAGACUUAAAACAGGUUCUUGCUUCGGGAAUUCGAUGAAUACUGGCUCUAAAGCCUCACUCUCAGUUGGCGUGAGAUCCAAAAUAAAGGGCUUUUCGUCCUCUUCAAAUGGCAAUUCUAUGACAAAGGGUUGGUCUAUGGCCCCAAACACUUCAGCUUCCCUUGCCAAUUCUUUGACUGGUUCUACGUACUCCGUAUCAUCCAGAAUAACACCAAUGAUAUUGGCAUGUUCCGGCAAGGGGUUCCUAUUUACGUUCGGCCCUUGUGUCUCCCUUUUUCGGAUUACAAUCUCCCCGGCUUCAACCAUAUCUUGGAUUUUAUGCUUAAGCGCCUUGCAAUCAAUAGUCGAAUGUCCGGCGGCCCCUGAAUGAUAAGCACAGACGGCUUGCGGGUUAUACCAGGCGGGCAUGCCAUAUGGAUAGGUAGGAGGGGGUACCAUACCAAUUUUCCCGGCGGCCUUUAACUGAUCAUACAAUUGGUCUAAAGGCCUGCCUAAAUUGGUGAAUGCACGGCUAGGGGGUCGAUUGUACGGUUCAGGAGGUGGAGGAUGGUUGUAAAUAGGUUUAUUUGGUGGAGGAAAUCUUGAAUUAUAUGGAGGGCGAGGUCAAUUUUGGGGUGGAUUCGGUUGAGAAAUUUGAAAUGGGGCUGAAGGUGGGUUAGGAUAGCUUGGGCGAGAUCUAGGGUGGUGGAUGUUGGUAGUAUAUACAGGGUGCGGAUUUGAGUAGUAGGGGUAAUGGGGUUGGUAGAUUGGGCUGUGUUGGUAUUGGGGUCUGGGUGAAGGGUUUUGGUUCCAAAUAAAGGUUGCAUCCCCCUCUUUCUUUUUGAACGGCGGCUUUUUCACAUUGCUUCCUUGACCUUGUAAAGCAUCCAACUGGGAUUUGAGAGCAGAGACAUUAACAAUCUUCCCAGCUCUUACGAAGUCAUCAAACUCCUCAAGUUUAUUUACAAUUGCAGCAAACGAACAUCCGGUCAUACGGAAAAUCUCUUCAAAGUACGGCGGAUCAUGUGCUUUUAUGAAAGUACGUAUGAUUUCGUCCUCGGUCAUUGGUGGCUCGACUUUUGCAGCUACUUUUCUCCACCUCUUGGCAUAAGUCUUGUGAUCCUCGGAGGGUUUUCUUUUCGUCCCUUCCAACGUAGUUCGUGUCGGAGCCAACUCGCAGUUAUACUCGUACUGCCUGAUGAAAGCAUUGGAUAGAUCAACCCAGGUCUUCACCUCCUCCGGCUUUAAAUUCGAAUACCAAUCAAGGGCGUCGCCUUCUAGACUUUCCGGGAAUAACCUUAACGGCAAGUUCUCGUCAUCCACUGGUCUACCCAACUUGUUGGCAAACAAACGCAAGUGUGUCUUCGGGUUGCCCGUACCAUCAUAUUUGUUGAACUUCGGGGUCUUGAAUCCCACUGGCAGCUGUACAUUUGGAAACAGGCACAAAUCAUCGUAGUCUAGCACCCCUUGCUUGCUUAAACCUUGGCUUUUCCGGAUGAACUCAUCGAAACGGUCCAACCGCUUAAGUAACUUCAGAUCAAUUGGGGCAGAUGACUCCCCCACUUCCGGCUUGGUUUGAACAAUGUUCUCCGGCACAAAAGGCUCUGCAGUAGUCUGAUAAAAAGCGUGUGGAUCUGGAGGCAUGCUUGGACCACCUUGACCACCCUGAGGAUGAAAUCCUUGCCCAUAGAGAGGAUAGAACGGAGGAUUUUGAGUAUAAGCAUAUUGCGGGUUGACAAUUCCCUCAAACGUGGUUUGAAUUGGAGGAAUAACAAAUGGUAACGUGGUUUGAAUUGGCGGAAUAACAAAUGGUUCGGAUUGUGGUUGUGUGGCGGGCACAGGUUCAGGUUGCACUCCGUUACUAACGAGCUCGUCGAUCAACUUCUUCUGAGCGGCCAUUUCCGAUGCCAUUUCCCCAAAUUUUGUGAGUAACUCUGUCAACUGAACCCCAGGACUUGCAGCUUCUGGCUGGGUAGUUGCAACGGCCUUAUCGGAUGAUUCUGGUUGGGUACUCAUGUCUACACGAUUCCUUUGGGCUUUACUUCGGGAUCGCGUAAUAAUGGGGCUUUUCCGAAAAGCUAUUUUGAAAUUUACCUGAAAAUGCAAAAGACUUCUUUAGAUAAACCAAUGAUUACUGAAUUUCUGCAAUUUAAAGAGAGAAAAAAAAGAAAAAGACAUGAGUUAGUAAUUAUUCAAACAAUUCGGAUGCAUGUCCUAUUUUGGGGGCCCUUUUUGUGCCAAGGGUAGGCCUAGCAUGAUGCAACACCUUCGAAAUGGGACCCGUAACACAAACCUGUUUUUGACAAUAAUUCCAAAUGAGGGCAAAAGAAAAAUCAUUUUCAUUGAUAAACUUGCCAAUAUUUACAUCAUAUCACGAAGACGAUUCCGUACAAGAUUACCAAAACUUCUGAACCUAUCUAAUACAGAGUCCUUUGUUUCCCUAGCAUAUGGAAUUCUAACACAUUCAGUUUGGUCAUAUAAUUCUGCACAUUUCCUUUUCAGCUCUUGACGCCUUCCUCGUUCCUUUUCAUACAAUUGCUUGCUUUGCUCGGCCAUCCCUUUGUAUGCUUCGACAGACUUACUUAACUGCAGAAUUUCCUUAUCCUUUGCUUCGAUAAUGACUUUCAACUUUUUCACCUCCUCAGAUGGCUCAUCUUGAAUUUCUUGCGCAACGGAUCCUCCUACCCAGUCUUCGUAUUGCGGAGUGGUCAAUCCCCUUUGUUUGAGUUCUGGAACGUACUUGACGCGUUCAUCGUCGGACAACGUCUCCCAGGCCUCAUCAAGAAGAAUCUUCAUCGGAAUUUCUCUCGGACAUAUCCCUUUGUCGAAAAUGAUGGUAAAUGUAGUCAGAUCAACUGCAGACGGCACAUCUUGAACUCGCCCUAAUUGUCGGAGGAACCUUCUUGGAUUGUAUGCCAUGAUACCCUGAGUGCCCAAUAAAGGAACAAACUCGGAUGCCUUGGUGCGAAGGACAGGCUUGACACAAUUGGUCCAAUCCAAUACCCAUCUCACCUUUUGAUUGGUCACAUUCGUUAAAAAGUUCACAAACUCGGAUGCAUUACACGGUGAACUCCUACUAUUGAUCCUCUUGUGAUGUGUGAUUACCCAAUUAUAUCCGGCCAUUGGUAGACUCUCGGGAAUAGACGGUCGUCUCAUGAAGUGCUCCAUCCCCCACACAUGUAAAAUCAAAUUUGACCCACAAAAGAACUUUUCCCUUCUCUGACAGGUAGUGCAAGCUAUGAAGAUGUCGGCCAAAAUAGUUGGAACAAUGGAACACUGUUUAUCUUUUAUUCCUAGAAACAAGUCGUACAAGAUUUUAGUGAACUUGAAGGCUAUCUUUUUGUCUUUCCUAGGGAAAAAGUAGGUUCCAGCCAUGACUAAUCCAUAUACCCAAACUCUCUUUCGUUCCCAUAUUUCCUCGGACGUAAACGAAAAAUCCCCUCGAUGCCUCUCAAAACCAUCUCUUAAUGCGAAUCGAUCAAAUAAGAACUUCGCCUCUACAUUUUGGUCUGCCCCUUGCAGUACUGAUUCCUUUAACCCAGUGAAACGGCAAAAUUCAUCUUUGUUAGAUACUAACGGAAAUAUCACGGCAGUUCCUUGGAUCGGCAAAUUGAGAAAUCCGGCAACUUCCUCAAUCGUUAUGGUCAUCUCCCUUUUCCCAAGUCUAAAAGCAGAACAAGUGGGGUCCCAGAGAUGCACCAAAGCCUCUACCAAAUACCCAUCGGACUUAAUGUCCUUGAAAUCCCCGAUGCGUCCUAAUCGAUCGGCUAUUUGGUUAAUCUCAUUGGGUGAAAGUAAUGUGGGCCAUCUUUGUACCUCCGGCGGCACUACUAACAUCUGUUGCACUCGGCGAGGAUUGUCCAUCUAGAAACCAAAACCGGGGUCAGAUACCUUACCUACAGGUCCCAUUUCUCUGGUUAACAGGAAUUUAAACGUGCAAAUCCCAAAAAAUUGGGUUAAAUACCCAUGGGAUUUAGGUUGGCUUGUCCCUAAUGUGGGAUUCCCUAAGUGGCAUUCCCUUUCUAAGGCUUAUGCAUGAUGUCAUUCUUAUCAAAGCAGGGAAACAUGCAAUUUGAAAUGAGACUUGACCUAAGGAGCCCUUUGUUCGCCAGGGUGGGCCUAAAAUGGCAUGACAUUAUUAAUUUAUGAACAUAAUAUACCAAAACUUUUAAACGUGCAAUAUCCUAUUUACACAGGUAGGCCCUAAAAGAAGGUUAUGCCAGACCUCUUAUUUGCUAGGGUUUGUGAAUGCAAUGAGGUCAUAAAACCAAGAAAAAUUAGUUCAGCCAGAUAUAUACACAUAACACAUUGUAGCAACGAAAUCAACACAAAGAAGUAAAGCAAUAAAAAGGAGAAAGGAGUUGGACCCCUCCCCUCGUGAAUAGUGUCUCCUAAUUUAGGGCAAGGUUGACUCUACCUUAGGCAAUUCUAAAAUGGAUGCAUGAGGUUGGGGCUCACUAAUGCAUCUAGACUCGAUAGGUCAUAGGUCCCCGAGCCUUCAGACUUGGAAACCAAAGGUCAUCACUCCCAAGGUUCCUUGUCGGUGGCUCGAGUGAUUCCCCAGACAUUGCUACGCACACGUCGUGUCACGGCCACAUGUCUGAGUGAAUCUAUCAAAAAUCCUUAAUCUUCGACUAAAAGCUAAAGGCUAUUAACCCAAAGCUUAAAGCGGAAGAUUAAGUGACCCCUUGGAUCGUGCUACGCACACGUCGUGUCACGGUCACACGUCCAAGUGAGUCGCCUAAAAUCCUAAUAGGGUGGAGUGGCGUGACAAGCCACUAAAAGAAAAAUAAAUGAGGGGUUAAAAAUUAAAGCGUAUGCACGUAUGCCAGUGCUCGUUUGGAGGGGAGGGAUCGAGAACCAACGUGAGGCUCUAAGGUGACACACACCCCCCCCCAAAUGCAAUGCGAGCGCGAGGUAAGUAAGUAAACAUACAUCCAAUCAACCAAUCAUACAUUCACGAGCGAGGGAGUAGUUGGAUACGCGUGAAAUGCAAAAAUCCUAAUAAAAGAAAAAAUGCAAUCCUAAACACCCAAAUGUGAUAUAUGAAAAGAUUAAAAGAAGAAAAAGGUUGAUUAAAUCAAAUUUGCUCGGACUCUCGAAUAUCCCCAGUGGAGUCGCCAACUGUCGCGCCCCAUUUUUUGAUAGAAUGAAUAAAUGAUUUAAAAAUGUAUUUUUUGAUUCAAUUUGUGAUUUGGAAAAUGAAUUGUGAUUUAAAAGAAAAAUGGGUCUAAAUGGGGGUUUGAGAAUGCGACGAUUUGACCCAAAAUUAUAGUUUAAAAAGGGUUUUUGAAAUAAAAAAUCGGAGUCGCCACUUGGUAAUGAGUUAAGGUGUACCAAGUCACCUAAAAAUGAAUUUUUAAAGAAAAAUAGGAAAAAGUAGUAAGAAACCCCUUUUAAACGACUCCUAGUCCACGUAAACUAACGAAAAAGGUUCGGGAGUCACAUUUGACGAAGGGGAAGGCAAGGAUAAAAUCCAAGGCACCCCUUCGACCUAACCAAGGCUAGUUGCUUGAUUUAAUCAAAGAUUUUCUUGCUUUAACCAAAGAAUUUAUUACAUUUGGAUGUACUACAUGAAUGCAAACCCUAGACCUAGGGGUAUUGGGGGAAAUUUCUCUUCAAAGGUUGAGUGGUGCCAAUCACAUUAAUUGUGAAGCCCAAUGACGAUCCUUUGAAGAAGUCACGAAUAAUGCGAGUGGGAUGCAAAUGAAUGGAAUGCAUGUAUGCAAUGUGAGGACAUGAGUUUUGAAAAAGUAAUAAAAAAAACAAUAAAUAUGUAAAUGAAAAUGUGCACGUGAGUGGGCAAGGUACGGUAUGUGAAAUGAUAAUAUGAAGUGCAUGUGUGCAAAACGGGAAGAAAAAUGAAAGUGUAAUGAUAGAGUGGAUUUAGAAUGCAUGAGCCUAGGGAUGUAUGCAUAUUGGGCACGGGGAGACCUAAAUCGUGACUCAAUUUUCCCUUUGAUAGAGGGAAUACAAGCGUGCUAAGGUUUAGAAAAAGCCACACUCGUCUAUAUCCCAUAUUUAAGGGGACUCUCAAGCAAAUGAACCCUAUAACUAGCAUGAAAUGCAAAAAUCCUAAAAUGGAGGGAAAAGGGGUUUGAGAGGCAUGCACAAUGAUAAAACUAAAAAGAAUGCAUGACAUGUAAUGAACAUGCGAACAUGCACUAACGAGGGGAAAUCCCUAAGGGUCUAGCGUUGGAUUAGCCCAUUCUAUGAAUUCCGACUAGCGUUGGACUAGCGGAAACGCACAUUCAUCCAUCACAUUCAUUCAGGCUAUGGAAAGCGAGUAGACAUGCCAAACACUUAUAAACACAUAGCACAUAACAUUUAGCAUGCUCGACUAGAUGCAAGAGCCUAAUAAAGCAAAUUAACACGUAGUAACUAAGCAUGCAAGACACAUAAAGCAAUUAAAGCCCUAACUAUUACAUUUGCUAGCUAGACACAUGUCUUCAACAGGUCUUCAUCGAAUGCUCCUCCAAGCCCUAUCUAUUACAAGCCAAGAGGUGUACACAUACCCCAUAAAGAACAACUUAAUGAAAACAAAAGUAAAUGACAUAAAUAAAAGGAAUUAAGGAAAAGCUAGGAAAGCAAAUUAGACAUGCAAAUCUCACUUAGCACAUUGGAUCACAUAGGAGACACAAAAGGGAUAAAAGAAAUUAUACCGCCCCCUUUGAAUGGUGUCCAAAUGAAAGAAAAAUGGCUUCAAAACAAUAAAAAGGUCACGGUACCUCAAAUAGUAAAGUAUAACAAAGUCACCAAAACUCUCCUAAUUGCAAUUUAAAUGAAAUCAAAUAAUACAUAGUUUCCAAUAAAGGGAUCCACCAAAGACCCAAUUGCAAGCAUUAAUCAACCAUUCAAAGCCAAUUGAAACAUUUUAGAAACUUUGAAAGUCAAAGAGCAAGAAAAAGGCCAAAGCCUAUUUAUUUCAGAAAAUUCAAGAAAAUAGGCGAACACAAGCUCAUUCAAACACAAAGUUCUUAAAUUCUUGCAUUAAGCACCACCUAAACAAAUGAAAGCAAAUGAGCAAUCGAGUUGCAAAGUUGAGGCUACCAAGGACUCAAUUGUGAACACUAACCAAGCACUCAAGCCUAAUCAAACACUUUUAGGAACUUCAAAGGUCCAAGGGCAAAGGAAAAGGCAAGUAACAAUUCAAAUUGCAAUUAUUCUAAAACCCAUUUGCAAGAAAUUAGAACAUGCUUGGGCUUUUGUGGAACAUGGAGAAACUUGAGGGAUCGAAUUGAUUAAGUGUUCCAAUUACUUGGGCCAUAGUGAGUCAAGAGGGGACUUGGGGGGUUAAAGAGCAAUUUUUAGCAAUUAUCCAUGCAUGCAACGAAUGCAAACUCACGUAAGAUAACAUUCUGCAACAAACCCAACAAACAAAACUGCUGCACUUUGUUCCACUUUCCAACACUAAUUUUGAUCAAAAAUCUUUCAACCAAACAUUCAAAGCUAAUCUAAACAUCAUAACACACAAAUUCAGAAUUCAAACAAACCCAAAUAUAGAAGAAAACUGAUGCAAAGACACAAGGAAGCUCAUGCAUUCAGCAGAUUCCAGCCACGGCAUUUCUUUUCAUUUUUAUCAUGCAAACCAGAUUUUUGAUUCAAACUCACAGCUUUGAUUAGAUAUUCCUCAUUUCAAUAUCACAACUUUACUGAGUAACAAACUACAUGAUGAUCACAAUCAAAUGACCAGAAACUUGGAAAGAUAUAAUACGCAAAUUCUGGAAAAAGAAUGCAGAAAAAGAGAAACAAAAACUCUCUUAUCAUCUCAUCAACAUAGGCUGAAUACCAGAAUUUUGGCUUGGGCAUGCAUAUGGUGUAUGAACUGAGCAACAAACCACAUCAUUACCAUCAUCCAAGCAGGCAGAAAAAUUAGAAAAAUCCCAUGCAAAAUUCUGGGCAAGUAUGCAAACAUUUGAUAAACAAAACUGAUGCAAUUUUUUUUUACCCACUCAGCCGAGAAAGCAUUCAUGAAAACGACUCAACGCAUUUCCCAUCAUUCAAACCCAACAUACAAAGACUUGAAACAAAUGUAGGGGGAAUAUCUAACCAGCUUUCGAAUCAAAAAAAAAAUGGAAUGACAUGAUUUGAAAACAUAUUGACUUUGAAGAAAAACAAGAAUUUCUGCAGCUUUUUCUUUGCAAAUUCAACAUGUUUACAAACAUUUACAUGACCCAAAGAAACCUGGAAAUGCCUUACUCAAUGACCCAGCACUUCAACCCAAUCUACUUUAGAUUAAACGGCAAAAUCAUAAGUUCCAUCCCUGCCUUCCUCCCCCCAGAAAAUCCAGAAGCAAAAGAUGCAAACUUUAGCUAUCUUUUCUGCAGUAAACUUCGGACUGUGCAUUCCCAGAUUGAAACGUAAGCAUAAUCAUUGAACAACAACCAAGAACAUGCAGCCUGCUAACCAGAAUCUACAACAUUUAAGUAAGCAACAAAAAAAACCAUGACACAAACAAACAGCAGCAAAAGGCGACAGCUUUGGACAAUGAAAAGGACCGCACAAAAAUAGCAUCUGUCUAGCAACCAAAUCCACAACUCAUGAGUCCAGAAUCUCUGGUUUACACACAGCUAAUUAAUCAUCCAGUAUUUAGUUAGCUAAACACACAACCAAGUGAGGAUCAAAUGCUUUCCGGUAGAUUUCGUACUAAAAUACCAUACAAUUUUCAAAACAGCUCCAUCGGCUAAGCUGGAAAAUUGGUUUAGCAAUCCAGCAACUUCCAAUAAAAUUUUCCAGCCAUGCAACCGAAUUCCUAGCCAUAAAGAUCACAUGCAACACCAAAUAAAGAGCUAUCUAUCAGAUUGGGUCCAAAAUCAAGUUCAAAUGUCAUCAAAAAUCACCAUUUAACCAGAAAUUCAUCCAAACUUCUCUCGGUUGACAUGCAUGCAACCAGGUUUUAUAAUCCUUCAAUUUUCUUGCUUAAACAAGGUUGAUUAACUUCAUGCAAGGCUCAAUCAUCCAGCUAUUAAUUAGCUAAACAUACAAUUAAGCUCAGAUCAUCACAACUUAGUAAGUUAAAGCUGAAAUUUCCAGCUCAAGCAAUCGGACAGUUCCAAUUCCUUCAAAAUCAGAUUUUCUUGUAACUUAGUUCAUCAUCCAACCGUACAACCCCACAUGCAUGCUUGUAAACAGCUUCAUCAACCCAUAAACAACUCAUCUAAGUCCAGAAAUUACCUCAGCUUGAAGCUUAAUACACACGACUAGCAGCUGCAACAAACCUCCACUCUCGGCUCUGCUCACGCACGCAGGGUUGGUUGGUCUGAGUUCAGUGGUUGCAGUUGUAGUGAUUGUGGUUGAAUUGAGCACGGCUGGUUGAGGUGAAGAAUAAAAUGGCAGCUCUCGGAUGAUGGAGAAAGUAAUGAAGCUCACGCAAUUGUCUCCUGCUCUCACCCUCCCUCGGACAGUUUAAGUACCGAAGCUCGCACGGCUCUCUCUCUGGUUUCUCUCGUCGAUGAUACCAAGGCAGAAAGUGAAGUGAAACGGAAUGAUGUUGUGGAGUGUUGGGGUUGCUGAAAUGGAAAACUAAAGCUCGGAUGAGGGAGGUGAAAUGUAUAUAUUGAGGUGUUGUGAGUGGAGCUGGUCGGCACUCCGGCAGAAAUGGAGAUGUUUUUUUUUUGUUUUUUUGUUUUUUUUGUUUUUUGAAAUUAAUUAAAUAAAACUGAUAAUAAAAAUAGAUAACGAACAACAAAAACAACAAAGCACAAUUUUCCAUUUUUCAUCAAUUUCCGCUUUUCUCUUUUUUUUUUUUUUUUACAAAUUUUACAUUAAAACUUAAAACUAAAACUAAAACUAAAACGUGAACAAAAUUAAUAUGACAAAUAAUUAGCAAAUAAAAGACAAAUAAAAAAGGUAACAACUAAAAUGCAGACAAUCUAAAACAAAAAUCAUGAAUUAGAUGCAACAUACAAAUUAUUUAAAAAUUUGGUGUCUACAAACUGGAUUGAGUAUUUUUCAUCAAAGUUGUAGCCCUUUGUCUUAGCUUCGAAAUGGUAUAAAUUUAACCCCAAUCCGAUAAGCGUAGCUUCGGUUGUGACCGAUACGCUAAGAGACGUCGAACCUGUUUUUUUUACUUUUUGCCUUAAACCUUAUUUCCUGUCAUUUCUGUAGCUUGGUUUUGUAAUGGAAUGACUUUUAGCCCAUUGAACGGCUAUUCUAAUGAGAUUAUUUGUGUGUGAUUUUGGGAGCUGAUUGAGGAAAAUAAUGAAGCCAUAAAUGACUGGAAAAUAGGUAAAUACAAAGGGUGUGCUGCCCAAAUUUGCACUCGAGGGCUAGGUAGAUGUACUCACGACUUGAGUAAGGGUUGAUGAUGAAACUAACUUGAAUCAUCUAAGGUAUUCAAGUCUUCUUUAUUAGAGGUAUAUAAUUUAGAAUCUAGCCGAAACUUGUACCCUUGGAAAAAUGAAAUUUACGACUAAUAGAAAUAUGUUUUCUUCGUUUCUUCGACUCAAAUGGUGAUUUCAAAGUUUUACGAGCAAGCAUAAGUUUUACAAAUAUUUUACUCAUGUCAUUUGUUUUAAAUGUACUCUUUUCACUUCCAACACUAUACUUAUAUUUUGUACUAGUAGUUAUUCGGAUUUUCUUUGGUUCACCUAAACUUUGGAUGGUUUAACUGUAAUAUUUUCUCUUGGUUAUUAUUAGAGUUCCUUGGUAAUUGAGGGUAUUAUCCAGAAGGAAACUUUGGACAUUCUUUUGCUUAAAUAGGUGAGUGUUCUUUGUACGUUAUGUUUCCAAUGACUAUGUGGAUUGUUGUGACUAUGUGACUAUUUAUGAAUGUUGGAUUAAAUGUUAAAUGUUUUCAAUGAUUUCUAAAAAUGAAUUUUGCUAGGCGAGUGUGUACUUUAUCGCACUCGAUCAAAAUGAAUGUGAAAUUUACAAUGAUUAAAUGAUUAAAUGUUUAAAUACUACUUGUACAUGAAUGUAAGCCUUUGGCUGAACUGGGCCCUUGUCCUUCGUUGCCGGUCGACUGGAACCAGAAGCGGACUCGGUCGGGCGAUUGGUGACCCUGGGUUGAUGUUUGGUAUACUCGAGUAUGACCGCGAAGUCUGGUGGAGACUGGCCAGUGUCCAGUAGGGGGAAAAUGAAAUGAAUGAAUGAAUGGCAAGAACAAUGGAGGGGUUUUCACUUACAAAUGAAAUUAUUUUUAAUGCUGGAGGAAUAAGGAAAUGGUUGGUGGAAUGAAUGAACGAAAGGCUCCAUGUGAGCAUGUAUCCUUUUAAUGAAUGUAUUAUCAUUACUUUAUAUUGUAAAUGUUUUCUGGAUUACUUGUUAUUACAUGAUUAAUGUCCUUGUUUAAUUAUUUGACUAUGUGUAUGGAACCUCACUGGGCUUUUAGCUCAUUCCGUUAGCUUUGUUUUCCUUACAGGGGAUGCGAGCGAGGGCGUGAGUCCUGUGCAGACUAGCUUGGUCUAGUUUUUUAAAAUUUUUUUUUUUGUUCUCAUGCUAGUGCUUGGAUAAGGUUGGAUGUAGUAAGAACUUAAAACUUUUGUUUUAAUUGAGAUUGUAUUUCUGUUUGAGAUGGAUAUGAAUGUAAGUAUAUGUUUCAAGUUUGGGAAUUAUUUUUCGCUUAGUCUCGAGGUUAUAUCUUAUUUCACUUGAUGAGAGCGAUCGAGUCCUGGCGAGAGUUGGGCAGGUGGUCCACCAAACCCUUUGGUUCGCCUCAGGGGAAGGUGGGGCUGUCACAGAACAUGCUAGUGUGCAAGCUUGCCUCAGUUUGUUAUCACCAUUAUAACUAGAUUAGUUCUAGCUUUUCUUGCAUAAAUAUGUUGUACAGGAGAUUGUUAAAAAAGACACCUUGCUAAAAUGGGUAAUUAUAGUUUAUUAAUAGCAUUCUUGGUAUUGAAUACACAAGGAACAAAUUAAUCAUUUCACUUUUAAUGUUCUUUAACUUUCAUCUGUUGGAGCCCAAGCCUAGUGAGUAUAGAGGUAUUUGUGUGUUUGCCUAAGUGAAUCCCAAACACUUGUGAACAAUUUAAAACAAAUAUCAUUUGUGCAUUUCAUGAAAGAACAUACAUUUGCUGCUACUGUCUGUGUUUUUCUAAGGAGAACGAAAUCAAACACUAAACCAAAGAUCUACUAACCUGGUCGUGAGUACUAUUGCAACUGAAAAUUUUAGGUAUGUUAUUUUAUAGAGAGAUAUAAGAAAGGUCAAGACCAACUAGGAAUUCAGCUAAUUUAGGUGGCAAUUUGAUAAGAAAAUUCCUUUCAUCAUUAUGAGUUCAUUAUGAAUUGCAGUAGAACCGGUCCAAGCAUGGUCCUCUGUGUAUACUACUACAAGAAAGUGGGCUGUUAGUAUUGACAAUAGUGGUCACUAUUAGGCUAAAUGUUGUUACAGAACCAAAUAAAUGACAACAAAUCAGUCGUCACCUUGUUGACACUAAAUCAUCAUCACAGUUGCCACCUACUGACAAGCAUCAAUGGUUCAAUCAGUAAACAAAAUCUUUUCCACUAUAGUUUCUCUAAAUACCAGCUAAACCACUAGUUUUUUUAACUGCAUCCACCACAAAAAGUUCAUCAAAACCAAUUUUCAUCAUAAAUUUAUUCAUAAAAGGUUUUUUAUUUUUAGUUUUAAGAAAGAAACACAAAUUUUGGAGGGUGGAGUCUCAAUACCUCUUUAAUUUGAGGAUUGUCAAAGUGCUCCCUACUCCUAAUAAUUUCAUACCAGAGCUCUUAUUGGAAACAAUAAGACUUUACAAUAGUCUCCUACUCUUAGGAGUUUUUCUUGGGUGUGAAGGAAGUUGCUUCAGAUGAGUUAUGCUAGGCAAUAUUUGACCACAAUUGUAAGGCAUGGCUUUUUUUUUUUUUACCAUGUUUUGGUAUUAUAAUUAGCAUCCAAAGCAUGGUUUGCUACUCAUUUUUUGAGGCAUAUCCCAAUUCAAAUUCUAAAAAAAAAAGACACUAAGAGAAUGUCAUCUUAAAUUGUUAAAGCUAAGGAUUUGAUUUGAUCUACAUGAAGAAGGAGGAACCAUAACUAUAUGAGUUAAUAAUAUUUCUUAUAAAAUCUCUCAAGCCAAACCUUAAGAUAAAACAUAAGAUAAGAUCAAAAUCUAAUCACAAUGGAGUUGAUCAAAUGGAAAAUUGAGUUGUGAGUAAUCAAAUGAUUUUACUUUUAGCAUGCCUAUAUAGUUGAUUGUAAAUAAAACUUGAGGUAUGAUAAGUAGCAAAUUUGCAUCAUAUUUUGUGAUAGUUUAUAUGAACUUUUAAACUCUUUUACUUGUUAGUAUAACUGUUUUUGUAGGAAAAUGGUCGAAACUUGAAUGUGCAACAUGGUUGUGAAAACAAGAAAAGAAGCAAGAAAUUGUUGCAAAAUAGGGUAGCAGGAACUGGCCAUGGUUGCUCAACUGGUUCCUGAGCCGAUUGCUGGACAAAAUGUUUCAAAUGCUAUCACAAAAUUUUCAAUUCAUAACCGGCCUUGUAGCUGUCCGAGCUUCCUCCAAGGGUUAGCCAGCCACAAUUUUUGACGAAGAAAAUGCAACUUGCUCAACUUGUUUCUUGAAGAAGUUCUCUUUUCAUGCACUUCAAGGAUUGACAAGACAUAAUUGUGGUUGGGAAGAGAGUACAAUUAUCAUCAAAAAACACCUUUUGUCACCUCAAUUUUCUUGGUCUUGCUGAAGCCACAAAAAUUGACUUUUGGCCUUCAUGAUCACAUGGAGUAAUCUUUUGUCUUUGAAAUAGCUAUAAAAAGAUGAAAUGAUACAAACUCCGUCGGCGUGACAAAACUCGCUAAUAGCAAGCCCGGAUCUUUGGUGAUUGUUAUAAGUUUGAUAGCAAAAUUCCUAUACGAACCCUUCUACUCGCUGUAGUUAUGAACAUUGCUAUGAUCUUGAGCCACAACCAAACGAAUCAACGAACCCUAGGAAGGCAGUUGGUGCCACAAUCAAGGGUCAUUUCUUGAUUGAUAAGCCAGAACGCAUACUCAAAAAAAUUCUAAAGUGCUCAAGGGUGCUCGAAGAGCCAAAAGAGCAUUUUUUUCCAAGUUAUUUGCGGGAAAAUAUGUCGUGUAUAUUAUUGAAAAAACAAAGUUUUUUUAUAAGUCUUUUACAUAGAGAAAUCCUAAGUAAACUUGGACUAACAACAACCAAUGAAUCAGACCUCAAAUUGGCCCCAUAAGAUGUGGAUCCGAGCAUGACUAUUGCUGGUCCAUUUCUUAUUUUAUUCCUAAUGGAUCCAACAGUAAAAUAAUAAUACAAAAAGAAACGACAUUAACUAAAUCAACUUGGCCCUUCAACUUCCAACUCGUGUGCGACUUGAAUAAGGUUUAAUAAUGAUAAAUUCUCUUCAUUUGCCUCUUUGAACGCACUUGACAUCCCAAUGUUGUCUUGAGCUAUUCGAACCAUAGCUUGAAGUGACUCGUUGAGUUUCUUGCCACGAGCAUGCGUCAUUGGACCUAAUGGAAUUGUCAUUGGAUCGACUUGAACACCUUAAACAUCUUCGACAGCAUGCACGACUCCAUCAUUCCCCUCUUGUUGAGAAGAAUUUGCCCUCAAAUCGAUCUCUUCACCUGCAAGAGAAGGACUCAAGUCAAAUACGUUAAACAUAGCACUAGCACCGUACUC
rnacentral:lncRNA from 1 species